CUUUCCAGCCUUGUUGAGCAGCAACUGCUAACACCAAUCUAAUUGUAUCUAAUCUGGACACCGGUGCAAACGUGUCAGAAUAAUCAACACCAAAAAUUUGUGCAUACCCUUUUACUACAAGUCUGGCCUUGUAUUUAUUGAUAGAGCAAUCCGCAUUAAGCUUUGUUCUGAACACCCAUUUAACUCCAAUAACUUUUCUGUCUUAAGGCUUGUCAACCUUUUUCCAUGUGUUGUUUUUUUGAAUCAUUGAAAUCUCAUCCUCCAUUGCCUUUUUCCAUUUUGGAUCCUUGAGUGCUUCUUCACAGCAACUAGGUUCGCAUACUGCUACAUUGCAUCUUUGAUAAAUGUCUGACAGCAGUCUUGUGCCUCUGAUGGGAUGAUCAUCUUCUAAUUCAUUUUGACACAACUCUGUUGUUUGGUUUCCGCAUACCUUAGCUUGUAUAUUUGAACUUAAUGGGGCAAGAGUUUUAUGAAAACGUGUAUUCUGAGUAUGAAUUAUUCAAAGAUGGAUAUUUUUAUUUCGUUGCUAUCCUUCGCUAAUUAAUUAAGAGGACCCAGGUCGAUUAAAUUGGCUCUGUAUUUUACAGUUCCAUAUAUAAUAAAAUGAUUUUUUUUUUUCAGAUUUCCGUUUGCUUACAUGUGGAAGGUUCCUUUGUUUUUUUCACGGUGCACACAAAAGAAAAAAAAAAUUAGUUAUUUCCCUUCCCUUGCCUCCUCCAGUUUAGACGACUAAUAGCAACAAUUGAAAGACAUCACAAUUUAUAAUACUGAAGAUUAAAUUAAUUACGUUAUAUUAAAUGUAUUUUAUGUUAUUUUCUUUAUUUAAAGCAAAAUUGUUUAUGUUUCCACUAUAUCGUCUUAAUUAUUAGAUAAAAAAGCAACUAAUUUGCAAUUAAAGAAAAAUUUAAGUCAAUUAUAUCGUAAAAAAACUUAUAUAUAUUAUGAAAAUUUAAGCGCAACACAUAUAAGAAUGAUAAAAUAUCAAAAUAAAAAACACAUUAAAAUUUGACAGUGAUAAAAUUAAAUAUGCUUGAACAACAAUUUACUCACAGACACUCAAAAAAAAAAAAUUAAUUACUCCAUUAUCCUCAACUAAUUUUAAUUUUUUUUAUUUAUUUUAUAUUUAAAAUUAUAAAUUUUUAACCUUAAUUAGACUCUAAAUUAUAAUUUCUAAACCCUAAAUUCUUCAUAAAAUAAAAAUUUUUAGAAUUAAAAAAAUUGACUAAUGUUAACGAAUUAAAAAUUAAUUUCUAAUACUUUUUGACAUAAAAAGAAAAAGAAAAACAUUUUUUUUUUCAAUUAGUAGAAAACAUAACAUUUAAGUUAUAUUUGUUUCUAAGCAUAAGAUGCUAAAAUAUAAACACAAAAAUAUAAAAUUAUAUUUGAGAGAUGUUAAAAGAGACAGAGACAUACCUCAAAAUAUGGAAUUAGUGUAUUUUGUAUCUUUACGAACAGAAAUAACACAAACACUAAUUUAUAAUUAUAAUUUGUUUUUUUACUAAGAGAUACAAUUUAUUUUUUUAUAUUUUUUCUUUCAUUAUUUCUAUUAUCUUUUAUAAUUAUAAAUUUUAUUAUUAUAUUUUUCUUCUUAAAUANNNNNNNNNNNNNNNNNNNNNNNNNNNNNNNNNNNNNNNNNNNNNNNNNNNNNNNNNNNNNNNNNNNNNNNNNNNNNNNNNNNNNNNNNNNNNNNNNNNUUAAAUAUUUUGGAUAAAAAAAUAAAUUAAAUUUUUAAAAUUUAUUCUUUCUUAUAUUUAACUUAUCAUCAAAUAAAAUAAUUUUGUGUCUUUAUUCUUUAUAUCUCAUCCUCAAAAUCUUUAUCUUAUUUUGUUAUGAGAAUCAACGUGUCUUAUAUUAUGCACGCUAGACUGCUAGAGUCCCUUGGGAUGCCUAGUCAUACGAAUAUUAUAGCCCAUGUCUUCAGUUUUUACAGCCUCACUCUUCUUAAUUUUGUUGUUGUGAGGCUUCAGCUGCUGCGAUUGUUUUGGUUAAGUUCAUUCCCUUGGAGAUAUUCUUAGGUUUGCUGAGAUCAGCCAUGUAGAUCGAUAUAUCAAUCAAUGCAAUCGAUCAUAAUAAUAGUAAUAAUCACUACCAGAAAUGCGGUGAUUAGCCACGGAAAAAAUCGUGGCUAAAAUCAAGAAAUUCCGUAGCGAUUAAGCUUUAACAACGAAUACAUUUCCGUGGCUAACAAGGACGACGCCUUUUCAGUUAGCCACGAUUUUCAUCCGGUUAGCCAUAGUUUUAUGAUCCGUAGAGACAUCUGAAUAGCCACGGUUUUUACGUUAUUGGCCACACUCUAAACCGUAGCUAAAUGACAACAGUGUAACCAAGUAUAGCUUUGCGACAAUUUUUCCGUGGCUAAUAUUGGUAAGCUGGGCUUUUUUGCCACAUUUUUUCCGUAGCCAAUAUUGGUAAGCUGGGCUUUUUUGCUACAUUUUUUCUGUGGCUAAACAUUGUUGGGUUAUUUAGCCACGAUUUUUUCGUGGCUAAUCAUAAAAGAUAAAUUAAAAAAUAUAUAUAUAUAAAAUAAAGAUGCUACUUAGAACAAAAUUAUAUUAUACAAAAUUAAAAAGAUUAGCCAUAUCCAUAUAAGUAAUAUUUUUAGUAAUAAAAAUAUGAAAUUUAAGUAACAAUGUUGAAAAGCAAAUAUCCUGAACUAAAUGAGUUUAAACUAUUACAAAAUCAAGUAUCAAAAUGUAUCAUUAUUAGAUCUCUAAGGUCUUCAUUGGAAUACUUGCAAAAACAUUCAAAUAAGAUUGUGUUAUCUCUUAAUUCAUGAAAAAAAGUCCCAAGACAUUAUUUAAAAUAAUAUUUUAAUGUAGUUAAAAAAAAGUAGGAAUGCAUACCAAUAAUGCUGAGUUUUCAUUUUCACAACAUAAAACAUCUUAUUGAACCCGUCAUCAAUCAAUAUAUAUAUUGCUAGACUUGAUAUCCUGGUGAACAACUUUCAAUUCAAUUGCUUCAUACAAGUAAAUGAGCAAGCCUGUCAUGAAUAAAGAUAAAAUAGAUAGUGAUAUUAAUGAUAUUUUCUCAUAUUAAAACUUAACUAUAGUAUUAUUUAACGAGACAAACGAAUACUAUUAGCGAGAUAUUGGAUUGCAAUCAAAACCAUUUAGAGAAAAAGAACUUAAAGUAAAAAUAAAAAUGUGUUAGAAAUUACUAAGGUCAAUAUUUUAAAGUAGAAAGUUGAGCUUACCAGGUAACUAUCGAAUAAAACUUUCAUGCGGACCUCCCAGGUAAGUGUCCCUUGUUCCAUGGCAACAUGCAUCCAUUACUCUAAGUUACCAUUAUUGACAUAUUCAUCCAUUAGCAGCUUAAAUAUUGAAACAAACACUAAAGCAAAAAUACUAUUGAUAAUACAAAGAAAUAGAUAAUUAGAUACUAUGUACUCGAAAAUUGUGAGAGCACAUAUAAUAACUUAAAGAAGUGCAACUUUAUUCAACGUUGGUAUCAGGACCUUUAACACUGUCUUCUACUUAGUUCAAAUUUAUCCAUAUUCAUAUAAGUUUCAAUAAUUACAAAGUUACAAAGCUAAAUUAAAAGUUGAACAAUUUAAAAUAAAACACAAACUUGCAUGGAGAUCCCAGCAUCGACAAGAGACAAAGUUGCAGCAUUGAUACACACAGAUCUAGUUCCUACACAGGAAUAUUGGGGAAGAAUUAGUGAAUGGUAAAAAAAAAUAGUCUUUUAAAUACAAAAAAAAUUAAAGAUUCAAGAGAAUAUUAGAUAAAUAUAAAAAAAGCUGCUUAGGGUUCUUUCCAUUCUUCUUUGUAAUUCAGGAUUACCUGCAAAAUCUUCGAUUUUCGCUAUUUUGGGACCUUCUUUGGUAAUUUAACGUUGAAUUUACUAAGGAUACAGAGAAAAUGAACAAUAGUAUGAACUGUGAAGGAGUUCUUCCAAUUUUCCAGUGAGUGGGCUUUACUUUGGUGUUGAGUGAAAAUUACUUUUAAGUUUUUCGCCCAAAAUUUCACUUGUAAAAGUUCAUUUGAAUUUAUUUCAGUCAAGUAAUUGAGAUUUUUAAUUUAAAUUAAUAGUUAACUAUAAAAAAUAUAUAAAUUAUAAUAUAUACCAUAUUUCAAAGACGAUACAUACUAAUUACUGUUACGUUAAUUUAUGUUGGAUAUUUUUUUUUACUAAAUUGAUAAAAAGAUAAUAAAAAAAUAAAAAAAUUAAAUUUAGAAAAACUAAUGCAUAUUGUAAAUUAGAGACAAAAAAAAUGUACUCUUUUUUAUCAUGAAUUUUAUAUAUACUUUUAACAUUCAUUCUCAAUUAAUUAAAGCAAUAAGUAUGUAUUCUUUUUAUACUAUUUUAACUAAUGCAUCUUCUAGUCACAAAAAAAACUAAUGCAUCUUCGGUUACUCAAUGCUGAAUUUACUAAGGAUACGGAGAAACUGAACAAUAGUCUGAACAUGUGAGAGAAUUCUUCUGAUUUUCUAGUGAGUGGGCUUUACUUUGGUGCUAAGUGAAAGUUAUUUUUUUCCGUCUAAAAUUUUACUUGUGUAUUGUAAAUGUUCAUUUGAAUUUAUUUCAGUCAAGUAAUUAAGAUUUUUAAUUUAAAUUAAUAAUUAACUAUAAUAAAAAAUACAAAAUUAUAAUUAUAUAUCAUAUUUCAAAGACGGUACAUACUAAUUAGGAUUAUGGAUUUUGACUCGAAUUUAAAAAAUAAACGAAAAAAAAUAUUAAAAUUUUGUAACUAUUUCAAAAAUAAACCUACGUUAACUUAUGUCGGAUAUUUUUUUAUUAAAUUAAUAAAAAAAUAAAAAAUAGGAAAAUUAAUACAUAUUGUGAAUUAGGGACAAAAAAAUGUACUCUUUUUAUUAUGAAUUUUAUAUUUUUAUCAUCCAUUCUCAAUUAAUUAGAGUUAUAAGUAUGUACUCUUUUUAUAUUAUUCCAACUAAUGCAUAUCUUAUCAAUUGAAAAUGGCUGGGAAGGAGAGAGAAAAAAUCAUCGACAAACUAGAUAAGUCUGCACCCUUAAAAAUUAAAAUUUAUUAUUAAAGUUUAAAUUUGGAAAAAAUAGGAACUGCCUAUAAAAUUUUUGAAAGGAAUGGAAGGAAACACUAGAAGCGCAUAAUUUAAAAGUAGACAUGUUUGAUUUCGGCUACGGUGAGCAUUGGGUCUGUGGUAAUUGAGAGAAUCCGAUUCAAAUUGGCCACAGACAAACAAGAACGUGGGAAACUUUCGCACAAUUUAACCACGGAAAAGCAAAACGUUGCAAGUGAUUACGACGAUCAUGAAAAUUUGCCACUGUUUUUUGUUCGUGAGUAUUUUCCCGUGGUAAACUAUCGUGUUUCUGGUAGUGAAUAUUGUGAUUGUGAUCAAUGAAAAUGUUCAAUUUGAAAUACAAUAUUCUUGUUUUGGUGUGCUCUUCAAACUCCACAAAAUGACUAUAUAUAGAGAGCGGCUAGGGUUUUAUACAUGACUGACGUGGCAUAUAGUAGCAAUUAACAGGGCAAUUCUCCUUUGGCAAAAUGUGCUUUAAUUUGUAUGUGUAAUUUAGAAAAAUUAAUACAUACUGUGAAUUAGGGACAAAAAAAUGUACUCUUUUUAUUAUGAAUUUUAUAUUUUUAUCAUCCAUUCUCAAUUAAUUAGAGUUAUAAGUAUGUACUCUUUUUAUAUUAUUCCAACUAAUGCAUAUCUUAUCAAUUGAAAAUGGCUGGGAAGGAGAGAGAAAAAAUCAUCGACAAACUAGAUAAGUCUGCACCCUUAAAAAUUGAAAUUUAUUAUUAAAGUUUAAAUUUGGAAAAAAUAGGAACUGCCUAUAAAAUUUUUGAAAGGGAUAGAAAGAAACACUAGAAGCGCGCGUAAUUUAAAAGUAGACAUCGUUUGAUUUCGCCACGGUGAACAUUGGGUCUGUGGUAAUUGAGAGAGUCCAAUUCAAAUUGGCCACAGACAAACAAGAACGUGAGAAAUUUUUGCACAAUUUAACCACGAAAAAGCAAAACGUUGCAAGUGAUUACGACGAUCAUGAAAAUUUGCCACUACUUCUUGUUCGUGAGUAUUUUCCCGUGGUAAACUAUCGUGUUUCUGGUAGUGAAUAUUGUGAUUGUGAUCAAUGAAAAUGUUCAAUUUGAAAUACAAUAUUCUUGUUUUGGUGUGCUCUUCAAACUCCACAAAAUGACUAUAUAUAGAGAGCGGCUAGGGUUUUAUACAUGACUGACGUGGCAUAUAGUAGCAAUUAAAAGGGCAACUCUCCUUUGGCAAAAUGUGCUUUAAUUUGUAUGUGUAACCUAACUUGUCAAAGGAGAUAAGCACCAUAACUGGUUUGAUCCCUACUAAGAAUUUGUUUGGAUGAGUUUCUAAAAAAAAUAUUUUUUUAGUUAUUUUUUUUAAAAAAUCUUAUCAAAAAGUAAAAAUAAUUUUAUGUUUAGGUAUAAUUAACAAUAUAAAAGUACUUUUUUUAUUUAUUAUGUAAAAAAUAUAUUUUUUUUAAAAAAAUAUAUUUUAAAAAAGAUGUAAAUUGUAACUUCUUAAAAAAGAUUUUUUUCUAGUACUUUUACUUUUAUUACUAGAAAUCUGCCAAAUACGUUAAAAAAUAAAGAAAGAACUUUUUUCAAUAAAAAAAUCUUUUUUUAUCAAGAUAAUAACAUCCAAACAAACACUAAAUAUUUAUUCUAUAGUACAAGCAAAAAGCAUUUUUUUUUGGGUAAUGCUAAGGAGAAAAAAAAAACAGCCAGAACUUAUCUUAUUUAGUAUUCAUUAAUUAUCGUAAUAAUUAAUAAAUACUAAAUAAGACAAGUUAUAGUUAUUUUUGGUUAAUUUUCUUUGGUUAUCGAAACAUUUCUCUUUACUAAUUAGAGAAAAUAUCAUUCCCCUUCCCUAUGAGAUACUAAAAUGUCACUCCCUUCCCCUCUAUUUAUAAAAUGUAUAUUCUCCUUCUUUAUAACUUUUAAAAAACUUCAUCUUUAAUUCAUUUUAAAUUUUGUGUGAAUUAAUGUUAAUUUUAUCCAUUUUUCAAGAAAAAAUAAAUUAUAUUUUAUAAAAAUAUCCUUUAGCAAAAAUUUUAUUUUUUGUGAUUAAAUUUUGUAUACCAAAAUAUUCUUUAACAAAUUAUUUUUCUAGUGAUUGAAUUAUAUUCUUACCAAAAUAUUCUUUAAAAUAUUUUGUAAUGAUUAAAUUAUUUUUUUACUAAAAUACCCUUCAAUAUCAUUUUUCUAGUGAUUAAAUUGUGAUAUCAAUACAUAUUAUUUUAACAUUAAAUUAAAGAGAAAUUCUCCACAUACAAGCAUUUUUUUAUACAAGUCUUUACAAGUUAUUAUAUUAACGCGCUUGAACUGUUACUGUACGUUCUUCUUCCUCUUCCUCUUCUUCUUUUUUUAUUUCGUUUCUUGCUUUCUCUUUCUCCUUCAACCGUUACUGCACAAUUUCACUGCACCGUCGUCUUCUUCUUGCUGCACAUUCUUCUUCCUCUUCCUCCUCCUCUUCUUCUUCUUCUUCUUUUCUUUCGUUUUUGUAAAAAAUAAUUUAGUUUUUCUUGAAAAUAGAUAAAAGACAUUAGUUAACACAAAAGAAUUUAAAAUAGAUUAAAAUGAGAUUUUUUAAAAUCUAUAAAAGAGGAAAAUAUACAUUUUAUAAAUAAAGAGAAAAAAAUAUUAUUUUAGUAUCUCCUAGGAGAAGAGUGGUAUUUUCUCUACUAAUGACCAAUCAUUGCACUGUUUUAAAACUACUACACAAAAGUCAAAACUCUUCCCUUCAAAAGGUUAUGUCUUUUAAUUUGCACCACUUCAUAUUGAAAAACCUCCCUAUAAAUAUUAAUAAUUCUUCAUAGCUCCAUCAUUCCAUAACCAUUUCAAGAACUAGAAAGAUGGCAGAAAAAGAAACCGACCAAAUUUCUUCAUUACCCGAAGAGCUUCUUCUCAACAUUCUUUCCUCGCUUCCUUUCAAAGAAGCAGCGAAAACAUGUAUCCUCUCCAAGAAGUGGUUCAAGAUGUGGCAAUCUACCAACACAGUGAAGAACAACCAACUCGAAUGCAAGAAGGUAGAAGCUUAUGGAGCCGUUGAAGUACCGCAAAGGAAGUCUUUCAAGAACUUCAUCAAGAUCUGGAUCACAUUGUACAAAAAUCACCAUCUCCACGACAAAUUCACCCUCAAGGUUUCUCCUCCUUCGAACUGCGGUGACAUCGUUGGAGCCUCCGUCGAUUUCGCCGUAGAGGACGGCGUGAAAGAUUUGGAACUCGAUUUCGCCGAAGCGCAGUGGGAGGACGAACAUCCUGAAGAGAAUAUCCACGAUGCCUCGGUUGAAUUUCCGAGACACCUUUACGAGAACAAGAAACUGCACCAGAUGCUCGAGAGUUUGAAACUGCACUCGUGCAGUUUCGCGCCUGCAAAUUUCGCCAAGUUUGUGGCACUGAAAGAUGUGACUCUUGCUUGGAUUCCGUUGCAACUGGAAUCGAUUAGGACGCUGUUAUCGACGUGCGAGUGGAUCGAGAGUUUGAGCCUGAAGAACUGUUGGGAUAUUGAAUCCUUUGAUGUAAAGAAAUUGGAACUGAAGAAGUUGGUGAUUGAUAGGUGCAUAAUUGGAACAGAUUAUAUUGGUUUUGAGGCGCCAAAUUUGAAGGUUUUCAAGUACUGUGGUUCAGUGCCGCCGGUGUCUGAAGUGAAGGUGGAAGCUGGUACCAUGGAGGAGGCAGAUCUUGAUUUAAGCCCCAUGGAUGAGUUCUUUGAAUGUGGCAACGAACUUCAGAAUUUUCUUCAAGAUUUCUUUGCGGUCAAUGUUCUUACAGUUUGCAGCGUGAUUCUUCAGGUACUUCGUAUAUGUGUGUUAUUGCAAAGGUUUCUUUGGUUUUGGGAAUAGUAAUAGUUAGAAAUGGUAGACUGUAAGACUAUAUUUCAUUACUAAAUUUCUAGCUUUAUAUUUAAGUAUAUAUACUAAUACUAAUAUAGUAACUAAAACGUUUUUUAUAAUUUUAUUAAUUUGUUAAUGAAUGAAAGGUGAUUCCUUCGGGAGAUGAACCCGUGAGGCUACCAGGGGGUUUGAGGGUGAGACACUUGAAGAUGAAAAUCCAAAUGCAUCCCCAAGAAUUUUGCGGAUUCCUUUGGUUUCUCAACAGUUGUCCUAGGUUGACCAAAGUAGCAACAAGCGACCAACUCUAUGCAUGCUCCUAUUUCAUCAGUGCGGCUUCAAUUUUGACGAAGCUCAGCAUCAAUGUCUUGAAGAACAAGAAUGAUGACCCUAACACGGUGGAGAUGCGUCGUAUUUUAGCAUCGCAAUUGCUCCGUAUUCCAAAGGCUUCAAGAGUUUUGGCCAUAAUAAUUCGUUGACUGUUAUUAUGGUUGGGAGAAAACUCUCUGUUAAUAGAUAAUAGAGAUGCGAGUUAUAUAUAUGGUUAAGGAGUACACUGAUAAAUAAGUCUGUACAGUAAUUUUUCCCCUAAUACCUGGCCUACUGAUGAAUUAGUAGAUGUAUCCUAUGAAAUUUUAAUAUAAUAUUUGGUAAUUUGUGUUGUGAUAAAUAUAAAUUGAUGUCCAUUUAAUAUAUUGUGAUUUUUUUUACAAUGUUGGGCGGUUAAUUUUUUUGAUACAAAAAUUUAGUUUUUCAAUAAAGACUAAACUUUAUGAAGUUUGAAAAAUAAAUAUUUUGUCCACGUAUAAAUAGUAAUAAAAUCUGAAGUAUAUGACACACAACAAUAAUAAAAUACUUUUCUCUUUUUUUACAUGCUACGAUAAUUAUAUAAACAUUCUUCUCUCUUUUUUAUAUAUACAUUACUACAUAUUAGUAAUAUAUAUAUGAAUCAUUUCUAUUAUAUUAAGAUAUUAAUUACGGUGAACAUUAAUAUUAGAUUUAUUUUUUUACAUUUUUUAUUUUAUAUUUAUUUUCUUUUUUUUAUUUAUUUAUUUUACAACACACUAUCAGCACGAGAUUCUGAUCAAAAUUUAGGAAGACUCAGGUAAUAAAUUUUUAUUAUGUCAAAUUAAAGCUCUCUUAUCUUAAAUUUAAUACUCUUGAUAUAUUUGAAAACAACUACUUAUCAUGGAUACUAGGUGCCGAAAUACAUCUUGAUUCAAUGGAUCUUUAGAGAUGCCAUUAAGGUUUCAAAAAGAUAAAGCCAAAGUUAUGAUCUUCUUUCGUCGUCACCUUGACGGAAGAUUGAAAAAUAAAUAUCUCCCACUAAAACAUUCUACAGAUCUGUGGAAAAACCUUGAAAAAAGGUAUAAUCAUAAAAAAAAUAGUGAUACUCCUCAAACCCAAUAUGAGUGGACACACUUACGUCUACAGGAUUUUAUAUAUAUCCAUAAAUAAAUACACAAUUCAGCAAUGUUCCGAAUUACCUCAUGAAUAAAAUUAUGUGGGAAAAAGAUAAAUUAUAAUGACAUAUUAGAAAAAAAUUUUUCGACCUUUUAUGACUCGAAUGUGCUCCUGCAACAACAAUAUCGAGAAAAAGAAUUUAAAAAAUAUUCUGAGCUAAUUUUUUGUCUUCUUGUUGCUGAAUACAACAAUGAGUUGUUUUUAAAAAAUCAUGAAGCGCGCCCAGUUGGCGUCGCCCCAUUUUCUAAAGCAAAUGCAGUAAAUCAUUACUUCAAAAGAGAUAAAUGGCAUGAUUUUGGUAACAAGAAAAAUUAUGUUCACAAGAAAGGAUCUCAUCAGAAGUGGGAUAAAGAAAAAAAAUAAUGGGCAAAAUAAACCAACAGUGGAUAAAUAUUUCCAUUGUGGUGGAAAGGGCCACGUAUCUGUCGUACCCCAAGGCACUUAGUUGAUCUUUAUUAAGCAUCUUUGAAAAAGAAUGAAAAAGGAAAGAAAACAAAUUUUGUUUCAAAUGAUGUUGCUAAAAAUUACACCACUCAUUAUGAAGUAUUUGAUUUCUUUGAGGAUCUUGAAGGAAAUAUUGGUCAUCUGAUCAAUGAUGAAAAAGUCUAAUAUGUGGGUUUGUUCAGUACUCAUGUAAAUAAAUAAUGUAAGAAACUUCUUGUUAAAUUUUAUUUUCUACGUGUUUGGAUUUUAAAUAUGGAUAAGUAUUAUUUUAGUCCCUAACGUUGAGGGUCAGAAUCAAAACCGUCCCCAACAUAAUUUUUUAUUUAGAAUCAUCCUUAACAUUUUUUUCGUAUUAAAAUCGUCUUUUUUAACUUUUUCUGGACAAAAAUACUCUCAACUACUAUCAGCACCUUUACUUCUACCACCACCAUUAGUACCUUUACUUCCACCACCACCAGCACCUUUACCUCCACCACCAAGAAAAACAACAUCAAUGAAAUCAACAUAAAUUCAACAAAUCAAGGAAUCGAAAAUUCAACAAAUCAACACAAAUUCAACAAAUUUAACAAUCAAAUCAACACAUAAUAACAUUAAAAUCAGAAAACAACAAAUCAAAAUCAGAAGCAGAAGCAGAGGCAGUCACAGAAGUAGAGAAAGCAAAGGCAGUCACAGAAUUAGAAAACUUAUCAUGCUCCUUGAUUUUAUUUCUGAUUAAAAGCAAGAAAGCAAAAACAGAAGCAAAUUCAAGAAUCGGGAAGCAAAAAGCAAGAAGUAGAAGCAAAAAGCAAGAAGCAGAAGCAAGAAAGCAAGAAGCAAAAGCAAAAAGCAAAAUCAGAAAAGUAAGAAAGUAGAAGCAAGAUGCAGAAGCAGAAAGCAAGAAGCAGAACCAAAAAACAAGAAGCAAGAAGCAAAAAGAGAGGGGCAAGGUGCAGAUGAAACGGCGAGGCGGCAAGGCGGCGAGGCGGCCGGCGAGGUGCAGCAGUGAGGUCAACGGCGGCAGUGGCUCGCGUCUCCUCUCUCCCUCGUAUUGGCUCAUGCAAUAUGAUAGAAGGCUCUAGAAGAGUUAUAAUUUUGUUUCCCAAAUGAACAAAAUUCAUAAUAAAUAAUGUACUAUUGUCUACCAAGUCUCUAAAGAACUUGUUGAGUUUUAAAGGUAUUUGCCAAAUGGAUAUCAUAUUGAAACAAUGAAUGGGGAAUAUCAUGAGUAAUUAUAUAUCACAACUCAUGAUUCAAAUAAAAAGACUAUAUUAAAAAUGUUACGCUCACUUUCAUCUGGGUUAUAUUAUACUAAAAUGAGUGUAAUUGAAUUACAUGCCAUUAUAAACCUGCAAAAGUUUACUAACCUAAAUGAAUUUAAAAAAUUUGGCAUGAUCGAUUGGGUCAUUCAGGAACAACCAUGAUGCGAAAAAUUAUUAAAAACUCCCAUGGACAUUCACUAAAGAACCAGAAGAUUUUUAAAUUUAGUAAAUUUUGUUGUGCUGCAUGUUCUCAAGGAAAACUAAUUUUAAGGCUAUCACCAGUAAAACUUAGAUUUGAGUCUCCUAAAUUUCUAGAAAGGAUUCAAGGCAAUAUAUGUGGACCUAUUAAUCCACCAUGUGGAUCUUUUAGAUAUUUUAUGGUCCUAAUAGACGCAUAUUUGAGAUGGUCACAUGUGUGCUUAUUGUCUUCUGCAACCUGGCGUUUACGAGAUUACUUGCGCAAAUUAUUCGAUUAAAAGCACAUUUCUCAGAAAAUCCAAUCAAAGUAAUUCUUCUUCACUCAUGAUCUUCAAAAUCAAUGAACAAUUGAUAUCCAAUAGAUCCGCUCAAGUGAUAAUCUGGCAGAUUUAUUUACAAAAUCACUUCCAAAAUCCUCCUUUAAAAAAUUGGUAUAUCAGAUUGGGAUGUGAUAAUUUCAAGAUAUAAAAUAAUGUUGGCAAAAGGAGGAGACUGUACUCUUUUUUCUUUGGUCAGGUUUUUCUCCAUAUUGAUUUUUUUUUUACAAAGUUUUUAAUGAGGCAGUCCUCGUCACAAAGGAUAUUGUACUAUUUUUUCUUUACUAAAAUUUUUUUUAUUGAAAUUUUCUUUAGUAAGAUUUUAACAAGACAUAAUCCUAAAUGGACAUCCAAUGAAAAAUGUUGCCCAUUUAAUACAUUGUGAUUUUCUUCACAAUAUUGGGCGGCUAACUUUUUUUAAUAGAAAAAUUUAAUUACUCAAAAAAGACUAAAUUUUAUGAAUUUGAAAAAUAAAUAUUUUGUACCAUUAAUACUAGAUUUAUUUAUUUAUGUUUUUUUAUUUUUUAUUUUUUCUUUAUUUAUUUAUUUUACACCAAUUUGAUUAGUAAUGCAACAUUAUUAUUGAAUAGUAGUUAGUUUCACAAAAUUACUUGAUCUUAAUAUUUUUUCGAAUAUGCAGAUACUAUUUGAAAGAGGAAGUAUUUAAGAAUGCAACUUAAUUAUAUUUGGUAUUAAACGAAAUUUAAUUUUAAUCUAUUAUUAAUAUAAAGUAAUUUUAUUCAUGAAUUCAAUUAAUAACGUUUAUCUUUUAAAAAAUUAUUAUUUUUAUUGAAUGUAUAAAUAAUUAUCCAAGAAUAUAAAUGUAAGUAUAUGAUUGAAUAAAAUAUUUUACACUGAUAAUACAUUAAACUCAAAAACUCAUCAUUGAGCAUGUAUUUUGAUAAGAUGGGGGCGAAAACAUAUUUAUUUGAUAAUAAAUUGAUAACUGUUGUCUAAUUAUAUUUUCUCUUAAAUAAAAUAAUAUGACUAAAAAUAAAAAUAUUCUCUGAUACAGUUUUAUUGUUUAGUCAAAUGNNNNNNNNNNNNNNNNNNNNNNNNNNNNNNNAAUUUAUAAUUUAAUCUUUGUUAAAUUCUAAAAUAAUUUUAAUAAUAAAAAACACGUGAAUAAUUGGUACACAUAAUCAAGGUGCACAUACAAAUAAAACUUUAUUGAGGUUGAAUAAAACUUGGCCAAGUAAGAGAAAUAAUUUUUCUUAAAUGGUUGAUAAGAGUGAUAAACUGAUAAUAUAGAGUUGCAGCAUGUGGGAAAUUAGAUAAAAUAGGGAAUAAAUAUUUAAUCCGGUUCUUAUUUAUUUUUUAGAAGGAUAAAGUAAUUUCUGUCUAAAAAAAAGGUACAUUCUGAUUCCUAUCUUUAUAUUUUAUGAGCUAUGACGGUUUUUUUGUGCCUUUCAACGUUAAAAACAAAUAGAAUAAGUAUACAUAUCACUUAACGGUAAUGAGUUGGUUGUUAGGUGUCCAUUAAAUACUAAGUUGUCAAUUUAAAAAUGGACAGGGGUUGAUCUAUCCUUGCCUCCCAAACAAAAACGCUGUUGUUUUAAGUGGGAUGGGAGGUUCAAAUGAUACGCUGCUUCACUAUAUACUUUGAAAAUGUAUCACUGUGUUCAACUGUAAACCCUAAGACGGCAUGGUUGAUAGUAAAGAACGUGGGUCGACAUCAAAUCGGUGAAGUGGGAGAGUUGAAAACGAAUCAGGUUGGAGUUUGAAAGUUAUUGGGAGUGUGGAAUCAAUGUGGAAGAAAAAGAGGGUUGUCCUAGAGUGUAAUUGUGGAAUUUAUGCAAUUUUAUUCAUGUCCGGAACCGAUAUAAACCCAAACAGACUAUUCUUUCGAUGCUCAUACUUCAAGGUAGGUUUAUGAACAAUUAAAAUUUUGUUCACUUUGUUUUUCAUUGAUGCUCAUAUUUCAAGGUAGGUUUAUCAAGAAUUUCAAUUAUGUUCACUUUGUUUUUCAUUAGAUUUAUAAUAAAAAAUAUUAUUUUGUAGACUCCAACACUUCAUUACAAAUACUUUUGUUGGCUUAAUGAUUAUGUUGCAUCAUUCAAUGAGGAUGCUGCAAAGACUCUUUUGUUCGGAGGUUUGAAGCUGAAUCAGAAUCAUAAAGAAGGUCAUUCUUCUGCGGAUGAUAACAAAAUUAGAAAGUUAGAGAAAAGAUUGGUUGGCUUAAAAAUUCAUUUGAAGAAAGUUAGAUUUAAUUUUAGUCAAAUUAGAUGCACUCAUGUUGAAUGUGUUAUGUUGGCAUUUGUUGUUGGAAUUGUAGUUGAAAACCUGUUUAAUGGUGUAGUUUAGAGAGAUCAAAUGUUGUUUCUGGAGUAUUGUGAAACAUGGUGAUUAUGGUUAAGUUGUUUAGACUAUAACAUUUGUUGCUAUUGAUCACUUUUGAUGCAUGAAUAUAAAUAUAAUUAACCUGCUUUUGUUUUUAUAUGUUCGUUUAUUAUUCAAUUUUAAAGAAUGCAGUAGUAUACAUAAUUUUGUAAUAAAAUAAGGCAUUAUAAAUUUGUUGAAUAAAGUAAGAAGCCAUCUGCUGAAAGUUGAAACUUAACACAUGAUACCAUAAUAAUAGAAUAAGGGAAUCAUCAUUACAGCCCUUACUAAUAUAGUUACCCAAAAGAGUAUUCAAUCAACUAUACCCACUUAAAACAAUAGCGUUUUUGUUUGAGAGGCAGGGACAGAUCGACUCUUUUCUAUUUUUAAAUUGACAGCUUGACACUUAAUGGAUACCUGACAGCCAACUCAUCACUGUUAAGUGACACGUAUACUUAUUUCAUUUGUUUUUAACGUCGGAAGGCACAGAAGAACCGCCAUGUCUUACAAAAUAUAAAAACAGAAGUCGGAACGUAUUUUUUUUUUAACAGAAAUCACUUUAUUUUUCUUAAAAAUUGAUAGGGACUGAAUUGAGUGUUUACUCUAAAAUGGGUGGGAUGAUAUGAUAUAAAGAGUAAUUGAGAGACUUAUUCAAAGAAAAUGAGUUAGUGAUGAUCACUUAAUUAAAUCUUCAAAAUUUUCCUAUAAAUAUAAUGGUAAUGCUAAGAAGAAAAAAAAAGAUUAAAAUUUACAUUAUUGAAUGUUUAUUAAUUAUUACAAUAAUUAAUAAAUAUUAAAUAACAUGAGUUAUGAUUAUUUUCUUUUGGUUAACAAAUAUUUUCGUAAAUCGCUUUCUAUAUAAUAAUGGUCAAAAGCUAUACAAAUUAAACAGAUAGACCAAUAAGAACGAAACGAACAAUAAUAAUUAACGAAUUACAAUUAAUUAACCAAAUAAUGAAUAAUCUUUGAUCAACAAUAACAAUCUCUGCUGCUGCAAGCUUAUUCCCACUUCCACAUAUGCAUGUACGGAUGUACCUUCAACAAAAAUAUUGAAAGGAUGAAUAAUAUUUAGUUAUCAUCUUCUUAACAUCAUGCUUAAUAUAUAACGAUGAGAUAAUAAUAUAUAUACUUUAAGUAGCUGUUUUGUUUCCUAGUGAUCAUGUGGGUUUUGUGGUCAUGUUAGGCGUAUAGGCCAUGUCUUCAGUUUUCGCUGCUCUGUUGUUGCUGCUGCUGCCGCCGUCGCUGCGAGCAGGGACAGAACUUAGUUAAAAUAAGGAGGCCAUGGUUUUCCAAACUUUUGAUAAAAAAAUUAGUAAUACUUUUUCGAAAAAUAAAAAAUUAGUUCAAUUGAUUCAAAUAUUUUGCUAUGAUUUAAAAUACCAAAGUUCAAUCUUCAUCUCUUGCUUUUAUUGCAUAGUAAUUUUUAGUUUUAAAUAUUAAAAACAUGUUGGAUUUGGACUGAACUGAAUGUAUUCGCAUUUCGCAACUCUCUAUUCAAUAAGCAACACUAUCUCUACCUUUGAGUUCAAAUAUAAAAAAUUAGGUUUUUUUAUUUAUGUAAUUUAAUAUUAUUUUAUAUUUUACUGUUUAUUUAAUUUAAUUUUUUAUAUGAUAAAAAAUAUUAGAAUAUUCAAUAAGUAUUGAUAUUAUUGUAUUUGUAUAAAUUGAUAAAAAAAUUCAAUAAAUAUUAUAAAUUUUAAUAUUUGUAAUUCUAACUUCUUUUUUACAUAUUUUAGAGGAUAUAUAUUCAAAUUUUUAUAUAAAAUAAUCAUGAAAAAUUAAAGAAUUGAUGCAUUUUUUAAGAAAAAAGCUAAUAUUCAAGAAGGAGAACAUAUAACAUUUACAAUAUCAACACAUGUAGAUAGUUCUUCUACUUUAAUGAAUCACGAAAAAAGUGAGAUACAACUUCCAAAAGUUCAAAGAGUUGCAUUUGAUGAAUUUGACCUUAAUUUUUUGGAACGAGACCCUGAAAAACGGAUUUAAAUUUGGCAAUAUCACCCAAAUCAGAGAGAUGAUGUUAGACGAGUUUAUCUUAAAUGGGAUUCAUAUCAAAAGCAUCUUGAUAAUUAUUUUCUAUCUGGCCCCCAAAAUUUUGUUUCAAGCUCCGCCACUGACUGCGAGACUGCUGGUUGCUACUGCUAUUGCUGCUGCUGCGAGACUGCUGGUUGCUGCUGCGGGACUGCCGGGUGGAUCGCGCAGGGAUAUGAGCUGGUCCACAUUUUCGGGUUUAGUUUGUCGAUUCAUUGUGAGAAAUGUAAUGUAAUUAUUAGUAAAAUGUUGUGAUCAAUGGACUAAUUAACACUGUAUUUGAUCUGCCAUUUCGUAUUUAUAGACGUUUUUGAUGCAUGCAUGUGUACAUUAGGGUACAUUUACAUGUAUGAUAUAUAUGAGCGUGUUAACAUUUGUAAACUUUGCAUGAAAUUUAACUUGUAAAAACAUGAUAUUUUGAUAUUGUUGUAUUCUUAUAUUAAUUGUAUAGUUCAGGUGCGUUGUUGGGAAUUUUCCUUAGCUUUCUUGAGAAAACUAAAAUAAUUAAGGAAACUCAUGGUAGCUAAGAGAGGCGUGUACGGUCAUUACUUUUAUUUUUUAUUUUUUUGUUGAAAGAGAUUACUGUUUCUUCAUGCUGAUGAGCAUUGCAUGAGAAAUGCUACUGCAUUUCGACGGAACUGCAGAGAAAUGCAUGGAAUACUCCUCUUUUUUUUUUUUUUAUAAGAAACUCAAUGACAAUAUAUAAUAACUGUAAAAGAAACGGUGGUGAGUAAUUUAUACAAGAAUUUCAGUGUCAUUUGCACGAAAGUGGAAAUAAGCCAUGGCGUGCGGCUGCGUGUUUGAAGUUGGAAGGGCGAAUUGUGAAGGUAUUUACAGUAACGUGUAUGUAGAAUGAGUAGUUGGACAUGAAUUAAAAAAGAUAGAUGAAUAGUCAACAUUAGAGAAAUUACCAGAAGUCAAUGGAAUAUUUGUAUAAUGUGUAUAAUGAAGGUUUAGGAAGUAUUAAAUAUAUAAUCAUUAGUGUUAUCUCUUCUCAUCAGAGCUGAAACUUUUGGGAUGAGUAGUAUCAUAACAUGGUAUUAGAACGCUAGAUCCGAAAGGCCAAAAGUUCGAUUUUUGGUGAACUCCAAAAUCAGUUUAAGUUAUUAUUCCUAGUACUCGGAUAGUUAUUCUAGAUAGUAUGAGGGAUGUUUAUUUUAUAACUCAAUAACUCAUUGUACACAUUAUACAAAUAAUCUAUUGUCUCCCUAACGAGACUCUCAACAUUAUUUAUUAAAUUAUUACUAUUGUUAUAUUUUCUUUGAUUCUUCUAUAAUUCUGUUACUUACUUCUGGGGCCCGGCCCGGCCAUAUUAAUAGUUAAAUUGAAGCGGUAUGCAGUCGGAUCAUAACAAUAGAAAGUGUAUUACAGAUUUUUUGACGGUGUAUUGUAAUGUAAUUCUUCAACAAUUUGACUGGGUAUAGAUUUUUAGAAGAUAAUUUAUCCCUUUUUUUUAAAAAAAGAAAUUGUUAGUGCAAAUACAAUAUUUUAUCAUUUUUUUUAAAUAAGACAAAAAAAUACUUGACAAUAAUAUUUAUUGAUAGAAAAAAAAUCGAGAUAUUCACUCCUCUUCAUUUCCCGCCUUGGCCUUGGACGGUGGCUGCCAAUGCUUGGUUUAAUCAAACCAGUGACUUGUAUUAUGUCUAUUUAUUCACUAUUUUGUUUAAAAAUAACAAAAUAUUAUAUAAAUCUAUAUAUAAACGAUAUUUUAGAAAAAAUGGUACCAUGAGGUGAUAACUUUAAGAAACACAAUCAUUUAAUAUUUUUUUAUCAUAUAAUCAAUUUAUAUUAACAAUUAAAAAUAACAACGAAAUAAAUCUUCUAUUAAUCGUGAUUUUUAUACAUAUUUUGAUAACGUGAAUCAACGGAUUUUUCUCUUGAUAAAAAUUAAAAAAAUUGUGUUUGUUGUUAAUUCAAUCUAUUUAUUUGACACCAAUUAAUUGAUAAGAAACGAGUAAUGUUAAAAAAAACGAGAUUAAAAGUAUAACAUAGUCGAUUGAAUUGCACACUAGAAUAUGAAUUUUUUCAUAUUCAAUCGAUUGAAAAUAUAACACAAUUAAUUGAAUUUCACAUGAUAAUAUAGAUUUUUUUUAUUCAAUCGAUUAAAAGUGUAACACAAUCGAUUGAAUUGGACAAUUAAAAAUAUAACACAAUCAAUUGAAUUUUGCACGGAAAUAUAAAAUUUUUUUAUUCAAUUAAUUAGAAGGAUAACACAAUUAAUUGAAUUGAGUAUUGCGCUAUAUAUCAUGCCUUCCUUUUUUUGAACAGCCUUCCUUAUUUUUAACAAAAGUUUCCAUUUUUACAUGACUUCUUUUCUCUCUCUAAAACUAAAAAACUUCUCUCUUCAUAGUAUGUGUUAUUAUAUCUUUAGAGACAUGCGAAUUAAUAUGUACAAAUAAACGAAGUUUAAAAAAUAUUUUGUUAGCAUUACUAAUGUAUUAAUAACAGGUAUGAUAAAAAAUUUUGUCAUUAUCAAAAUAGAUGUCCAAGUGAUAGAUUGUGCAAUUUUCAACAGAAAUUAUCAUUAGAUAUCAGUGUUUAUUCUCUUAAAUGAGAACAUAUAUAUAAACCAUAAAAUUGUAAUAUAAAUGUUAUAUAUGUUGUUAAGGAAAAAUUAUAUAUACCAAAGAAUAGACAAAAAAAAAACUUACAAAUUUUAAAUUAGUAGUGGGUUGCAUAAGUUUAUAAAUAUAGUAUUGCAUCUUGUUUAAAUCUAUCUUAGACAUUUACCUACAAACACUAAUAGAUUUAUAUAACUGUUAGAUAUUAAUUGGUACUAAAUUUUAAUAUUAAAAUAACCAUCUGUACACUAGUAAAAUAAACAUCCGAUAUAUCUAUUGUUUACCUUGUUUAAUAUUUUCAUUGUUCACCUAUACUUUUCCAUUCCAUAAACAUUAAACAAUGCAUCUAACCGGAGAAUUAGGCAUCAGCAAGAAAAGAGAAGAACUGAAGCCGUGCAUGCGUGGUCCCCGUUGUGAAGAAAUCGCAGAUAAAUGCUUAGCUGUACAUGGAGACAAGGUUGCUCUCUUUGUAUGCUUAUCAUGUUAUAGAGAUGCUUUGCGAGGUGUAACAAAGGAAGGGUGCCAUAGCCAUGCAUGCUGAAGAGUGUCCCAAAUGCUCAGUGUACCAACUCACUUUCUCCGACGUGUCCCUUCCUUCACCCUCCUCUCGCCCCCUAUAAAUCACCUCGCUUCUCAUUCUCCUUCAUCACAACCACAGCAAUAACAAUAAUAGCAGCCAUGGCUAAGCUUCUUGAGCUUUCUUUUUGCUUUUGCUUUCUAGUUCUGGGAGCUAGCAGCAUCUCCUUCAGGCAGCAGCCGGAGGAGAAUGCGUGCCAGUUCCAGCGCCUCAAUGCGCAGAGACCUGACAACCGCAUUGAAUCGGAGGGCGGUUACAUUGAGACUUGGAACCCCAACAACCAGGAGUUCGAAUGCGCCGGCGUCGCCCUCUCUCGCUUAGUCCUCCGCCGCAACGCCCUUCGUAGGCCUUUCUACUCCAAUGCUCCCCAGGAGAUCUUCAUCCAGCAAGGUUAUUAGUUAUUACUACUUUUUCAUAUUGUUAUUGUCAAUGAUUGAAUUUAAUUAUUUGACGGUAAAAAUAAUUUUGUACACUCACUAAACGUACUAACAUUUUACAACAAUUUACGAUUGAGACACAAAAAAAAAAGGCAUAUCUGUAUUUGAGAAUUUUAUUUUUUUUCCAUGAUCUUUGUUUGUUAAUUUCAUUUUGAAUGAACACAUACAGGAAGGGGAUACUUUGGGUUGAUAUUCCCUGGUUGUCCUAGCACAUAUGAAGAGCCUGCACAACAAGGACGCCGAUAUCAGUCCCAAAGACCACCAAGACGUUUGCAAGAAGAAGACCAAAGCCAACAGCAACAAGAUAGUCACCAGAAGGUGCACCGUUUCAAUGAGGGUGAUCUCAUUGCAGUUCCCACCGGUGUUGCUUUCUGGCUGUACAACGACCACGACACUGAUGUUGUUGCUGUUUCUCUUACUGACACCAACAACAACGACAACCAGCUUGAUCAGUUCCCCAGGGUAUAUAUAUGCUCAAAUCUCAUUCGUUAUUUUUGGCAUGUGCAUAUAUCAUGAAUAUUGAGUAUUAGUCUAUUAUUAUUUCUUAUGAAUUCUCAUCAAUAAACCAUGCCACAUUUAUAUAUAAAUGAUCCGUGACAAUUAAUAAUACAUAACAGAGAUUCAAUUUGGCUGGGAACCACGAGCAAGAGUUCUUAAGAUACCAGCAACAAAGCAGACAAAGCAGACGAAGAAGCUUACCAUUAAGCCCAUACAGCCCUCAGCCUGGACAAGAAGACCGUGAAUUUAGCCCUCAAGGACAGCACGGCCGCAGAGAACGAGCAGGACAAGAACAAGAAAACGAAGGUGGAAACAUCUUCAGCGGCUUCACGUCGGAGUUCCUGGCACAAGCCUUCCAGGUUGACGACAGACAGAUAGUGCAAAAUCUAAGAGGCGAGAACGAGAGUGAAGAACAGGGAGCCAUUGUGACAGUGAAGGGAGGCCUCAGAAUCUUGAGCCCAGAUAGAAAGAGUCCCGACGAAGAAGAGGAAUACGAUGAAGACGAAUAUGCUGAAGAGGAGAGGCAACAAGAUAGAAGGCGUGGCAGGGGAAGCAGAGGCAGCGGCAAUGGCAUUGAGGAGACCAUCUGCACCGCAACUGUUAAAAAGAACAUUGGUAGAAACAGAUCCCCUGACAUCUACAACCCUCAAGCUGGUUCACUCAAAACUGCCAACGAGCUCAACCUUCUAAUCCUUAGGUGGCUUGGACUUAGUGCUGAAUAUGGAAAUCUCUACAGGGUUUGUACUUUCUCUUUUUCUAUCUAUUUUUUUAGCAUACUACACUAUUAACAAAAUUUAUCAUUGUUAGUAAGAUUUGGCUAAUACCUUAAACAUUAAGUAUUAAAUUCUAAAUUUUAAAUACUAAAUACUAAUGGUAUAAGAAUAUAAUGUUACUUAACUAUCGAUUAAUAUCGAUAAAAAGUAUUGAUACUGAUAUUUUUCUUUUCUUGUAGUGUUACAUUAGGCAUUCGAUUUGGUUAUCUAUUUACCCAUUGAAAUGUGAUUGCAGAAUGCAUUGUUUGUCCCUCACUACAACACGAACGCACACAGCAUCAUAUAUGCAUUGAGGGGACGGGCUCAUGUGCAAGUGGUGGACAGCAACGGCAACAGAGUGUACGACGAGGAGCUUCAAGAGGGUCACGUUCUUGUGGUGCCACAGAACUUCGCCGUGGCUGGGAAGUCCCAGAGCGAGAACUUCGAAUACGUGGCAUUCAAGACAGACUCAAGGCCCAGCAUAGCCAACCUCGCCGGUGAAAACUCCUUCAUAGAUAACCUGCCGGAGGAGGUGGUUGCAAAUUCAUAUGGCCUCCCAAGGGAGCAGGCAAGGCAGCUUAAGAACAACAACCCCUUCAAGUUCUUCGUUCCACCUUUUCAGCAGUCUCCGAGGGCUGUGGCUUAAAAACGACCAGUAUCUUUUGCAAGCGUGUUAUCCACUACAUACUUUUUGCCACAAAUGAAUAAUAUAAUAAUAAGAAGAAUAAUGUAGUUUUAAUUUUUAGUAUGAAUAAGAAUACAAAGGGGCAUUGAUGCCUUUUUGUUUAAGAUCGGAAUGUAACAUAUGUGCAAUGAGCAGAUAUGGAGAAAACCUUUUGCGGGAAAAACAUGAAUAAUAAAAGAAGUUAUGGUCUCACGCACGCCACAUUUGUCUUUGUAUCCCCCUUUCUUUGUGAUAAAACAAACUUGAAAAGAAUAUCAACAACACAGCAUGCUCUAACAUUUUGAUGUAACUCCGAAAAUCCGAGUAAUUGUUGAGGGUGAGCUAUAAUGAGCUAGGAUUUCUAUUCAAGCACUAUAAGAUCGUGACAAUUCAAUUUUGACAUGCAUGGUAUAUAUAGCUUGCUUAUGAUCAUUGAUGACUUGCUCAUGUAAAUCCAAUUUUUACAAUUUAGAUGGCGAGUUCCUAAAGCCUCGUGAAGUAGUUUAAGUGUUUGACUAUCUCAUCAACAUAUAACUGAGCGUAUUGAUGAGUCGUAAAAACACUUUUUACUGGAAGAAAGUGUGACACUUGGUUAUUUGGUUCACUAUGAUCCAUAUUUUGAUGGUAUGAGCUAGUCUUGUCACAAAAUCUAUGGUGAUUCUUUUCCAUUUCCAUUUUAGUAUCUCGAUUUGCUGGAGUAAAUCCGCAGGCUUUUAAUGUUCAACUUUGAUUUGUUGGCACACUAAGUAUCGUGAUAUAAAGUCACCAAUGUCCCUUUUUAUGCCUUCUCACCAGAAUAACUGUCGCAAAUCCUAAUGUUUUAAUAGAACCAGGAUGUAUAAAAUAGCGAGAGUUAUGAGUUUCCACCAAGAUUGUUUUUCGAAGAUUUUCAAUGUUUGGUACAUACAAUCGUUUACCAAAACGAAGAAUUCCUUCUUGGUCCAAUGUGAAGGUAGAGUUAAUUCCGCUCUUAACAUCACCAAAAAGUUUAAGCAGUUUUAAAUCUUCUUUUUAGAGGGUUUUAAUUCUUUUGAUGAGGGAUGACUGAGCAUUCACAUGAGUAAGAAAAAUUCCAGAUCUUCUAAGUUUGAACAGUAUUCCUUUAACCUCGAGCUGAUGAAUUUCUCCAAUCAGUGGUCUUUAAGCAGCUACGAUGAUAUCAGCUUUUCAUAGGUGAUAAAGGAUUGUACAAUCAUAAUCUUUAAGCAGCUCUAUCCAUCUUCAUUGCCUCAGAUUUAAAUUUUUUUGUUGAAAUAUAUAGUUUAAAUUUUUGUAAUCCGUAUAGAUUUCGCAUGUCUCAUCAUAAACAUAUAGUGUAUUGGAUAGUUUUACUUGCGUUUUUUGAGUUGGCAUGAGACAUGAGCAAUAAUUCGACCAUGUUACGCUAACACACAUUCCAACUCAAAUCGAGAUGCAUCACAGAAGAUGGAGAAACCCGUCCCAGAAGGUGGAACAAGAACGGGUGCUAAAAUGAGGUAAGUAUUGAGCAUCUGGAAGCUAUCAUCACAAGCAUCUGUCCACUAAAAUUUGACAUUCUUUUGGGUUAACUUAGUUAAUGGUGAUGAGAUUUUUAAAAUUUUUUUAUGGAUUGUCAAUAAUAUCUUGCUCGACUAAGAAAACUACGAAUUUCAGUCACAGAAAUUGGUCUUGGCCAUUUUUUAAUGGCUUCAACUUUUUUCGAAUAUAUCAUAAUUUCAUCUUUCGACACCACAUGUCCUAAAAAUACCACUUGAUCUAACCAAAAUUCACACUUAGAGAAUUUGGCAUAAAAUUGGUGCUCUAGAAGGGUUUUCAAUACUCUCCUUAGAUGAUAUUCAUGCUCUUUCACACUUUUGAAGUAUACUAAGAUGUCAUAUAUAAACACAAUGACAAAGUGAUUUAAGAAGGGUUUGAACACUCGAUUCAUUAGGUUCAUAAAAUUAUAAAAAGGUUGCAGGAGUAUUCGUUAAUGCAAAUGACAUUACAAUAAACUCAUAAUGUCCAUAGCAAAUACAAAAAGCGGUUUUGGGAGAUAUCUUCCUGCUUGAUUUUCAAUUGAUGUUACUCCAAAUGUAAAUCGAUCAAAUCAUUGAUUCUAGACAAUGGAUACUUGUUGUGAAUGGUCACUCUAUUAAGUUGUCGAUAAUCUAUACAUAGGUGUAUUGAUCUAUCUUUCUUCUUUAUGAAGAGAACAAGGGCUCCCAAAGAAGAUACGUUAGGACAAAUGAACCCUUUAUUCAACAUAUCUAUAGCUUGGUCUUUUAAUUCUCGCAGCUCUCUUGGUUCCAUACAAUAAAGAGGAAUUGAUAUGCGAUGAGCUUCCGGGAUUAAGUUUAUGGAGAAUUGAAUUUUUCCAUCAGGUGGUAUGCCUGGUAAGUCAUCAGAAAAUACAUCUGAAAAUUUCUUCACCACAGAAAUAUGACCAAUGCUACGCAUCAUGGAUUCAAUGUUUCUAACUACCGCAAGAAACCAUGACACCCUUUGUUUAUCAGGUUCAUGACUUUUUUUUAGAGGAGAGAUGAGUUUGUUUGGGGUCAAGUAUCCAUCACCUUUAAAAGUAAAAGGUAGAAUAUCUAGAACAUUAAACUUCAUUAUUUUAGAAUAAUAAAUCACGUUAACAUGAUAAGCUGCUAGCCAAUCCAUACCUCAAAUGACAUCAAUGUCUUCCAUCGGAUCUAGAAGAAUUAGGUUAUAUUAGCCAAGGUGUCCACAGAGUUUAUAGUAACGAAACAAGAUUGAAACACAAAUUGAACCAUAGUGAAAACUGAGCGGAGUAUCGACUUGGAAGGGGUUGUCUAAUAACACAAGUUGCAUGUUGAAAUGGUUUGCUAGAGUUGGGAAAACAAAUGAAUAAUAAGAACUCGUAUCAAAUAGCACUUGAGCAUCCAAAGAGAAAACUUGUAAAAUAAAGUACCUAUUACAACUGCAUUUGAAGCCUGUGCAUCUUGGUGAAUUAAGGUAUAUACACGUGCUUGUCCUCUACCUCUCUAAUUUGUUCCUUUGCCCCCAGGAUUUCACCCUCCUAUCCCUCUACCUUGGCUAGCAAAGUUUCCAAGAAACGUAGUUGAGUAUGAAGGUGAAGGUGAUGGUGUCGUAGAAUAUGCAUGACCUUAAAUAAUUCCUCCCUGGAACUUGGACUAUCCUUCCUUAGGUGACCAGUUUGAUUGCAUCCAAAAUAUGCACCAAUGGCCUUGAAGCAUACUCCAGAAUGAGGAUGUCCACAUUGUUGGCAGUAUGGUUUGCCAUGCAUAGAUUAAUCACCAGAUUGAUAGGUCCCUCCAGUGAAACUCUUUGAGCCUGAGAGGCUUGUUAGAGGGGUACAGACGGCGCAGCUUCAAUAAUGGGUGCUUGUUGAUUGUCUUGAUGACCUUUAUAACUUGGUCCUCGUCUGAAAUUAAAACCACUAAAGAGCUGUCUUUUUGUCUUAAGCUUCUUAUCUGCUUGUUUAGGAGUGAUUCUUUCACUAUUUAUAACCUCAAUUGCAUAGGUAGAAUCUAGGAUUUUAUUGAAGUUCAUUUGCCAAAUCUCUGGCACUCGAGUAAUAUACAUGGGUUCUUCCAGGCCUCUCACGAACCUACGAACUCUAAUUUCUUCAGAAGGUAUUAAAUAAGAAGCGUUCUUGGAAAGCCUGAAAAUUCUUUAGCAUACUCUGUCACAGUCAUGCUUCGUUGCCUUAAUCUCUCUAUUGCAAUGGCAUCCUCUGCUUGCUUGCUAGCAGGGUGAAAUCUUUCAAUAAAUUUCUUAAUGAAUUCUUCCCAUAUAAGAGUAGGCAGCCCAGUUGCUUCCUUACUUUCAAUAAGGGUCUUGUACCAAUAUCUAGUUAUCACUUGAAGGUUAUAUGAUACUAGCUCAAUAGCGUAAUCUUUUUUGCAUCUAAGGGCUCACAGGAUUUUUCUCACAUCUUCAAGGUAUUGUUGAGGAUCCUCAUCCAGGAAAUCUCCUUUGAAAGUGGAUGAGUUAAUAUUUAGGUAUUGUUUGAAGGUAGGUUUCUUAUCUCUAAAAAUAAAAGGAAACAUUCAUGGAGAAAAAGUUAAGGUGGGUUUGUGUUUGCACACUGCCGUUAGCUCGGUUUGCCAAAAAUUCAACUACAACACACAGAUUAUCAUUAACUGUUCUAAGUUUUGCUACCAAGCUUGCAGGUGUUUCUCUAUUUACUAGAUUUUCUUGUAUUUCUUAUGGAACUAUAUCGGCUUGAGUUAUAUUUUCCAAGUGUUCGUCUUCUUGAAGUACUUUUCAUGUCCUUCUACUGGCUAUUCUUUGACUCGUCCUAGCAUUCGCUCUUGUAAGGGUGAGAGAUUAGUCCUAUUAGAUGUUGUAGUGUUAGGAGCAUGAAUGGCUCCACCAUGCAAUUUAGGUGGCAUCUUUUCACCUAGUAAGCAAAGAAUGUGGUCACAUAAUAUCCAAAGAAAGGACAAGAAUUUUAUCGAAGACACAGAUAUAAGUUUAACUUCCUACAGGCUUUUGGUAACAUCACACUUGUGAAAAUGGGUUAACAACCAUUUGCACAAUCGUAAACUUAUUAAAAGACAUUUGCUCCAUAUUACACAAGAAAAUCUAAACUCUAAUACCAACUUUGUCACAGCCGAAUUUAAGUAGUAACCGGCAAUAAAAAAAAGUUUUCUAAUAAGCCUAUUAAUUGCAUAAUUCUUAAAUGAAUAAUUUAAAUCUGCAUCUAUUAUAUAUCACAAAUACGAGUUUAUAUAUACAAAUAUAUAAUACUAUCAAACAUUAAAGAUAUUGCCUGUAAUAUAUGAAAUAUUAACUAAGAAAUUCAAGGUGUAGUAUAAAUGACAAGGCCCUUGGAAGACAAGGACUCACCAAAAAGCCGAUUUCUACCGAGGGAUAGAAGGAUUAGGACUCUAAUCUAUAUUUAUAUUUAAAAAACAUAUAAUAUUCAAGAAACAUAUAAAAAAAUUUAAAUAAAAUAUUUUGUAACAAAUUAAAAUAUUCUAUAUUAUGUAAUAAAUAUAAAAAUGAAUAAAAUUAUUUAUAUUUAAAUAACCAAAUAAUUAUUAUUGAUGAGUAUUUUAGUCAAAUUGAUUAAAUAAUAUGUUAUUUUACUCUUACAAAAGAGAAAUAUAUUCUGUUCCAAGGUAUUAUUUGAAACUAAGGUGGAUUUGGGUUUGAACGUGAGAUUUAAACGCCUUUGAGUGAGUUCUGACUUAUUUGCUAGGAUGGUGGUUCAAGGUUAUCAAACUCACGAAUCUAAGUAAACUCGUGGAAUUGACUUAGACUUGACUUGUAGACUCGUUCGAGUUUACUUGUUAUGAAUUCUUAUACAUACAUACAUACAUACAUACAUACAUACAUACAUACAUACAUACAUACAUACAUACAUACAUACAUACAUACAUANGGAAUGGUGGUCAAGAAUGGCUAAGAAUUGACUUGCCUAUGAUAAGAGGACAGGUGACGACACAGUAGGUGUAAGACCCGGUUAAUUAACGGCUAAUUAACCUAUAAAUGAGAAUUUAUUCUAGAAAGGAAAAAAUGUUAUUUUUUAUGGCUAAAUGUGAUAGAGGAGAUUGAGACGAGAAUUUCGGUACCAAUUUUAUAGAAAACGGACCAAGAUUGGACCAAACGGGCCAAACCGGACCAACCCUAGUUUUCAGCACUCUCUCUCCUCACAACACACUCAAACAUGCUGAAAUGGUGGAGAGGAAGGGAAGAAAACUCUCUCAACUUCUUUCUCUCACUUGAUCUUCAAACCACCAUAACUUUUGAUCUAGAGCUCCGAUUGUCGCACCGUUUGCGGCCACGCGUUCACCGCAGAGAGCUCUACAAAACCCAUACAAUCAAUCUUGAGGUAAGCUACGUUUUGCUUUUCGAAUUUCCAGCCUUGUUUUCGAGUUUCAUGAGCAAAAAUGUUGAGAUUUUGGGCUCUUUGAUGUUAUAGGACCCAACUCUCUUGAAGGAGAAGAUUAAUCUUGUCUCCUUGGACCUUGAGUAAGGUAAGAUAUCUCAAACCCUAGUGAGAAUGUUGAACUUGUGGUUGUGGGUGUUGAGCUCUUGUGUUUUGGUAUGAUGAUUGUGGCUUAGGUUGUGUAUAUGUGAAUAUUGGAGCUUGAUUGGUGAUUUUGGAAAGCUUGGGAGAGGGUUUUGUGUGACAAAAUCUAUUCUUGGAGGUGUUGAGACCUUGAGAGCUUGAGGAAAAGUGGUUUGGAAGUGCUCUGGUUGAGCUUGGGAAAUCGGCUAAGGUAUGGUUUCGGUUUCCCAUAUCUAUUAUGUAAUGUGGUAGGAAAUACUUAGGCUAGAGGCCCUAAGAUAGGCAUUGAAUUGUUGGUGUUGUUGAAUGGUUGAGAUAUAUGAUGUGUUCAUAUAUGUGAUUAUGAAUAUUGAUGCCUUGAUUGUGUGAUAUAUGAGAAAUGCAUGUUGUGAUAUAUGCUUGAUGGAUGAUUGAGGUUGAAUUGAUGGGUGGUACCAUGUUGAUGGUGAGUAUGAUGUUGAUCAUGUAUAAUGAUGGUUGAUUGGAAAUGGUAUUAUUGGAAAUUGAGAUGAGGAAGGAUGUAUGACAUGAUAUUGUGUUUGUCCUUUAGCCAUUGGAUUGAGAAGUGUUAAAAUGGUUGGAUGUGAUUUUGGGAAUUUUGGUAAAAUAUCAAUGUGUGAGUUGAGGAUGGCUUGAUGUUGAUUUUGGUACAUUUUGAUUGAUUUCAAAGAAAAGGGAUGAAAUUGGCAUGUUUUGAUUGAUUUCGAAAAGAGUUGAAAGUGGCUUGUUUUGAAAAUGGCACUUUAUGGUUUUGUAUGAAAACAUGAUUUUUGGGUAUACUUUGACGGGACAUAACCUGGACUGCGGAUCUCUGUUUUCUGCCAAAUCUAUUUAGAAAUGGAAUUGGAUCCGGGAUGUCCAUGCCGUUCGAAGAACGGGUAAAAAACGAUUUAAAAUGAGAAAGUUAUAUCCGUCAGAAGAUUGGGGGUUGAAUCUGUGAAUUCUGCAGCUUUUAACUUAGAAAAUUUUUAGCAGAAUAACCCCCCGUGCGUUGGCACACUUGGCGCGUACGCAUCGUUCUUCGAGAAAACACCAUCCACGCGUGCGCGUGGUGUGCAUGGGCGCGUCGAUGCGCUGCACCAAAUGCCCAGCCAUUUUCCCGAGAGUUGUGCCAAAGUUGUGCCAGUUUUAUGCCUGGGGCGCAAGAGCACCCACGUGUAUGCGUGGCUGACGCGUGCGCGUCGUUUGGCUAAUUUUCAAUCCGCGCGUUCGCGCGUAUGACACUUGCGCGUCAAUGAGUUUUAAGGCCAUCCACGCGGGCGGGUGGAGUGCGCGUACGCGUGGCCCUAUUUUCAUCCCAAAGUUGAUUUUUGAGUUUUAAAAGCCAAAUUUCAUACUUCUAAGCCUCCAAUCUCACCACUUAUGUCUUAAAUCAUUAUGAUAUGCCUAGCUAUGAGAUAAGGGGCUAGUGAAUGUGGUAACUUGCAAGUGAAGCAAGGGAAAAAUGAAUGAUCAAUGAAGAUCAAAGAUGAUUAUGUAAGAUGUGGAGGAUGGCGGUGGAAGUGCUUGUUAUGCCAUGGGCCGAAGGGCCGUAAUUGUAAAUAAAUUGGCUGGUUAUGGAUUUAACCGUGAGCCGGAUGGCUAGAUUAUCGUCGUGUUACGGCAGAGCCAUGUUUAUGGCUAAGUAUAAAUGCAUAUAUGCUGUUGAAUGAAUUGUGAAUGUUUGCACUUCCACUAUCAGAGAUGAGGGUUUCCCUGGGAGGAAGCAGUGGCUAGCCCCCACGUGCCCCAGGUUGAGACUCGAAGCUUUGUUGACCCUAUGUCGUAAGUGUGGCCGGGCAUUGUGAAAGUCCCGGAUGAGCUCGCCCCCGUAAAUAUUCACCGGUGAGGGUGAUGGAUAUGGAUCAUGAUUAUGAUCAAGUUUAUGAUGAGUAUAACUCGAGUUGGGGAUGCGCGACAGAGGGACAGUCCAAGGUUAGCUACCAGGACUUGUCGGGUUGGCUCUAUAACCGACAGAUGAUAUCAUCAGCCACUAGGGACAGGCAUUCAUCAUAUGCAUACUAUGUGAAUUGUUUGAGAUUGCCUAUUUGACUGCAUAUUACUUGCUAUUUGUCUAAAUGCCUUAAUUGUUCUUACUUGUAUAUCUCUUGUCUGAUAUAACUGUGUUUGCUAUAUUAUACUCCUGCUGGUGGUUGGGAGGUCUAAAGGAAUUGGAAAGGGAAGUAUUAGUUAGACUGAAGAAUCUUUAGUUAGUUGCCACUUACGGUUUAGCUUGUUUAUAAGCUUUGAUAUUAUCUGGAGGAAGUUCUAGGAUUGCCUUCAGCUUUCCUCUAUUAUUAUGUAUUAUAUAUGUGGAAGCUGUUACCAUGCUAGGGACCUCUGGUUCUCACCCAUGUGGAUUUUGUGAUUUUCAGAUGCAGGACGCGAGGCUUCUCGUUGAGGCAUGCCGGAGACUUCUGGAUUAGCGAAGAUCCUUUGUUUUCGGGACUCUGUUUUGGGUUAUAUAUUUUGUUUAGAUACUUUUAUCUCCAUUAAAUAAUACAAACUGUGAUGACUCCUCUUAUAGGAGGUUUUGGAGAAUAGGUUUCUGUAUUUGUGUCCCUUUGGGUUUUCUUUGGGGUUUUCCUUAUUUUAUUAUAUGUAUAUAUUGUUAUGCUCGGACCGGUUAUCUUCGCAGCCGGAUUUUGAGUCUUGAUAUUCCUGUUUUUGACACUCCCUUGUAUAUAUAAUAUCUCGUGUUAGCUUAUCCUUUGCUCGUUACGUUAUCGAUCGGAGUGUUGCGCGUUCGAGUUACGAUUUUUGUUUACCCCUUUUUCUACAAAGGCUCCUAGUUAUAAUUAAUUAUUCAUACUACUAUACGUACUAAAUUUUUGUUUUAGAGGUCGUAAUACCUUGCCAUAUCUGAAUUAUGACUUAAGCAUAAGUCUCUGUAUGGUAGGGUGUUACAUUAUGGUAUCAGAGCAGUUCGUUCCUGUAGAGCCUGAGGAAUGGACUGACUAUACUUCUGUGCAUUCUCUGUGUGUGUGUUAUGUGCUACUAGUAUAUCUGCUUGAUAUAAUUGGCAUAAACGUUCAUGAGCAUGCAUUUGGGACUUUGAAGCACUAGACUUCCGAUAUUGAGACUGAUCAACUUAAUAUCGAUUGUUUGGUGUGUAUAGGGACCAGAUGACGCCUCGUGUACGCGGUAGAGGUCGUGGGAGAGGUCGUACUAAUGCUCGUGCGCCGGAGACUAACCCUAAUGAUCCGGUGAACUUUAUGACUGCGUUGGAGAACAUGGCUGCUGCUAUGCAAGCCACUGCUGAGGCUCUGGGCCAACAGAUGAACAACCAUGGUAAUGACGGAGGUGGAGUUCAGGGCCCGAUGACACUGGAAAACUUUUUGAAGGUUAAUCCCCCGAAGUUCAAGGGAACUACUAGCCCGACUGAGGCCGAUACAUGGUUUCAGGCCAUGGAAUGAGCACUGCAAGCGCAGGUGGUACCUGAAGGGCAGCGUGUAGAGUUCGCUACCUAUUUGCUCACUGGGGAAGCGUCGCAUUAGUGGCAAGGAAUCCGACGCCUCCUGCAGCAGGGUGAUGAUUAUAUCACCUGGGACGUCUUCCAAGAGGAGUUCUAUAAGAAGUACUUUCCGACUUCUGCUAGGACGGCCAAUGAGCUUGAAUUGUUGCAGCUGAAGUAGGGUACUAUGUCCGUAUCUGAGUAUAUGGUGCGGUAUUUUACAACCACACUUACUAACCAGCAAGUGCACCGGGUCGUACCAAGUAAUACCUUACGUGAGUAAGGGUCGAUCCCACGAGGAUUGAUGGACUAAGCAACAAUAGUGUUUGAUAGGCUUAGUUAGACAAACAAAAAUUGGUGUUGAGAUGCAGUAUAAAAGAGAUUAAACAAUAUAAAAAAUAUUGAAGAAAGGCAAGUAAUUAAGUUGAGAGUAAUAUAUGGAGAAGGCAGUUAAGGCUUCAGAGUUAUCUAUUUUCUGGAUUGACUUUUCUUAUUAACUAUUUUAAUUACGCAAGAUUUAAUUCAUGGCAAACUAUUUAUGACUAGACCCUAAUUCCUUAGACCUUCCUAGUCUCCUCUAAAAUUUAUCAACUGCCAAUUCCUUGGUCAAUUAGCUUCUAAUCUAUGAUUUCUGGGCUAAGAACUGGGUCAAAACGGCCCAGAAAUUGCCCCCAGUGUUUUUCUACAUUUUCUGCACGUGGCGCAUGUGACGCGUUCGCGUCGUCCACGCGUUCGCGUCAUUUGUGCAGAUUCCAGUCCACGCGUUUGCGUCAGGCACGCGAUCGCGUCAUUGCGAUUUCCUCCAUUCCGCGCGGUCGCGUGAGCCAUGCGUCCGCGUCGGUAUUCGUUGGUCAUCUCCUUGGCUUCUUCUCUUUCUCUGCAGAAACUCCAUCAAAUUCUGCCAAAUGCUCCCUAAAAUAAACAGUAUUGUACAAAAUUCAAAAUAGCAUCCAUAGUGGCUAAAAUAUAAUUAAUUCUUAAUUAAACUCAACAAAUUAACUGCAAAUUCACUAGGAAAAGAUAGACAAGAUGCUCACGCAUCACAACACCAAACUUAAACUGUUGCUUGUCCUCAAGCAACCAAAACUAAUAUAAGCUUAGGAUGUGAAUUUGCAUGAGAAUGAGAGUUCGAUUAAGCCCAUGUCUUCUCUUAUAGUGGGGUUUACAACUGCAAUCCUGAACAAUUUUGGCAUCUCACUUUAUCCUUUGAAGUUUAGGAUGAUUGGCAUCCAUAGGAACUCAGAAUUCAGAUAGUGUUAUUGAUUUUCCUAGUUCAGUAUGUUGAUUCUUGAACACAGCUACUUUAUGAGUCUUGGCUGUGACCCUAAGCAUUUUGUUUUCCAGUAUUACCACCGGAUACAUAAAUGCCACAGACACAUAACUGGGUGAACCUUUUCAGAUUGUGACUUAGCUUUGCUAGAGUCCCCAGUUAGAGGUGCCCAGAGUUCUUAAGCACACUCUUUUUGCUUUGGAUCACGACUUUAACCGCUCAGUCUCAAGCUUUUCACUUGACACCUUCACGCCACAAGCACAUGGUUAGGGAUAGCUUGAUUUAGCCGCUUAGGCCAGGAUUUUAUUCCUUAGGGCCCUCCUAUCCAUUAAUGCUCAAAGUCUUGGAUCCUUUUUACCCCUUGCCUUUUAGUUUAAAGGGUUAUUGGCUUUUUCUGCUUGCUUUUUUUUUUUCUCUCUUUUUUUCCGCAAGCUUUGUGUUUUUCACUGCUUUUUCUUGCUUCAAGAAUCAAUCUUAUGAUUUUUCAGAUUAUCAAUAACAUUUUUCUUUUUUAUCAUUCUUUCAAGAGCCAACAAUUUUAACAUUCAUAAACUUCACUAUCAAAAAAUAUGCACUGUUUAUGUCAUGCAUUCAGAAUCACAAAAAAUACCACCACAUUUAAGUAAAUCAGACUAUUUUUUAAAAUUAACUCAAUUUCUCAUGCACUACACUUCUUUUUCUUUUCUUUUUAGGUUCAAGUUCAGUGAGUGGUAUAUGAAACAUCUUUUCAGCAUUAAAGCAAUUAAAUGAAAACUAAACUAGUCCUAGGAUUCUAACUAAUAAAGGAUCAUGCAACAAACAAAGAAAAAUAACAGGAAACUGGAACAUAAUAUAGAAAAAGAGGGGAGGAAUAAAAAAUGAAAGGAACUCAACCACCUUAAUUAUCCUAGCGGUCGCUUUAUUCUUCAGGUUGUGCUCCUUCGCGAAGAUGAUUCGCCUCCCUUUUGUACUAGAAAACCUGUAAGCGCGGCGUCAACACCAAACUUAAGGGUUUGCUUGUCCUCAAGCAAAGAAGAACUGAAAAUAGAAAAGAUAAAUAUUAAAAUGAAAAAAAAAAGAAAAAAAAUAAAUAAAUAAAAGGAUAAGAGAAUAAGAGAGAAGUAGGAUUGGGAGAGAGAGAGAAAGAAAACUGGGCGGCACAAGCGACGCGACCGCGUAGGGCAUGCGGUCGCGCGCAUUGCUCUUAUACGGAUUGACGCGAUCGCGUCGGUCACGCGGUCGCGUGACCCAGUUUGUGCUUCUGGCGCGAGUGCAGCCUCGCGCCAGCACAACUCUCUGUUUGAAUUGAUAUAAUUGCCAAAAUUGGGGUGACGCGAUCGCAUGGGGCAUGCGAUCGCGCGAGUGGGCAUUUAAUGGGGUACGACGCGGCCGCGUGGGGCAUGCGGUCGCGUGAAGGGAAUUGCGUGUCCAGCGCCAGUCCAGCACCACUCUAGCACAACUUUCAGCUGUGCACCCGUUUUACGUCAAAAAUCAGGGCACGCGGCCGCGUGGGUCACGCGGUCGCGUGGGAGGCCAUUACGCCCAUACGACGCGGAUGCGUCGGCGACGCGGUCGCGUGGGAUGAAUUGUGCCAUUGGCACGCCUCCAGCCACGCUCCAACGUGACUCUCUGUUCGUUUUUAUUUUUCUCUUCUCCCCUUGCGACGCGGACGCGUCGCUGAUGCGGUCGCAUCGCGUAGCUUUUUUUUUUUUUUUGAAAUAUAGCUUGAGGUGUUCGGUUCCUGGAAGAACAUAGCUGCAUGAUCAGAAAAUUAGUGAGAACUUAAUAAAAAAUAAAAUAAAAUAACUAAGAAAAAUACUACUACGAAAAAAUAAUAGCUAAGGAUACGAAAUUAUCGGGUUGCCUCCCGACAAGCGCUUCUUUAUCGUCAUUAGCUUGAUGGUCAGCUCCUCUAAGGAGGAGGAUCAUAGGGGCUCAGCUCUUUGAACUUUUUUCCUGUGUCUCCAUAACGUAGCUCAAUAUGCUCCAGAGAGAGGAUUCUGAUUACUGUAUAAACCCAUGCUGGAUUGCUGGUCAACACCACCUUCAUUCCUGGGGAGAAACCUUCAGUGGGGAUCUUUUUGUUUCUCCAUCCUCUGGGUAUUUUUUUCUUUUUGGGGACCUCCUCCUUGGUGGAUGAUGCAGUUCCAACACCAAACUUUGGUUUGAUGUCAGGCGGAAUUUUAUCGGUUGUCACCACAGGAGGUUUGAGUUGCAAAUUCUGCUGUGCAUCAUCAGGGAGUUCUUGAAGGUUUGGAUCAAUGAGUUCAGCCUGCAUGCACCUCUCUUCUUCACCUGUUGAAUGUACAUCUUUGAAGACAUGAAAGACCAGUUGCUCAUUAUGCACUCUAAGCACUAAUUCACCCACUUCUACAUCAAUCAGAGCUCUUCCAGUGGCUAGGAAUGGUCUUCCUAGAAUUAUAGAGGCAUUCUCAUCCUCCCCUGUAUCAAGAAUCAUAAAAUCUGCUGGGAGAAAGAACUUACCCACUUUGACCAAGAUAUUCUCCACUAAUCCGUAUGCAGGCUUCAUAGAUUUGUCUGCCAUCUGUAAUGCUAUCUUUGUGGGUUGUGCCUCUUGGAUAUGUAGCUUCUUCAUCACAGAUAAGGGCAUUAGAUUUAUGCUUGCCCCUAGAUCACAUAGGGCUUUCUCAAAGGUUGUGCUCCCAAUGGUGCAUGGAAUUUGAAAGCUCCCUGGAUCUGGCAUCUUCCUUGGUAAGUUAUUCUGAAUGACAGCACUACAUUCCUUAGUCAGGACUACUGUCUCAUCUCCCUUUAAACGCUUUUUCUUUGACAACAGCUCCUUCAUGAACUUGACAUAGAUAGGCAUUUGCUCCAAAACCUCAGCAAAAGGAAUAUUGAUUUGUAACUUUCUGAAGAUUUCCAAGAACUUUGAAAACUGCUUGUCCUUGGUCUCCUUUUGAAGUCUCUGAGGAUAUGGCAUCUUAGGCUUGUACUCAGGAGCCUUUGGCUGUGUAGGAUAAGUGUCAAGAGAGUCUGGGAAUGGGUUGUCUGCACGCUUUGGAGGGGCGUGCUCUACUUCUUCCUUCUUCUCAUCUGGAGCUUCUUUUUCAACUACAUCUUUAUUGACCUUGGUCUCAGAGCCAGCUACCUUACCACUUCUCAAUUGAAUAGCCUUGCAAUCUUCUCCUGGGUUCACCACUGUAUCCUCUUGAAAUGUACUUGCAGACCUCUCAAGUAUUUGCUUGCUCAGUUGGCCCACUAGCACCUCUAAGUUUCUAAUAGAGGAUUUGGUUUCUUGUAUAACUUGUGCUUCCGUACUUGCCACUUGUUCACUUAUUACAGUGAUAGCCUUGCAUUCCUCUCUUGGAUUUGGAAUUGUGUUACCAGGAAGGCUGUUAGUGGUCCUCUGAUCAAUUUCAUUAACCUUUGUGGCUAAUUGACCCAUUUGAAUUUCCAGGUUCUUGAUGGAUGCUCUGGUUUCCUGUCUAAAACCUGUCAAUAUUGCUUCUAAAUCAUUGUUCUGCUGGAAACCGCCCUGAGAACUAUUGUUGAAGUUCUGAGGUCUCUGAGGUUGGUCCCUCCACCCAAAGUUUGGGUGAUUUCUCCAUCCCGGGUUGUAUGUCUUAGAAUAUGGAUUAUUGUUGGGAUUCCUAGGACCACUCCCCAUGUAAUUCACCUGUUCAUAAUAAGGUUGAGCAUAAUCAUGAUUAUAAUUUUGAAUAAAAUUACCUGCCAUGUCAUAGGAGAUUUCUUGGGGUGGAUUUUGAGUGUUGAUAGCUGAGACUUGCAUGCCACCCAUCUGUUGAGUAAGUAGAUUUAUCUGUUGAGACAUAAGCUUGUUCUGAGCAAGAAGGGCAUUAAUAGCUUCCACUUCCAAUACGCCUCUCUUCUGAGCGGUCUCAGAGUUCACAGGAUUCCUGUUAGAUGAGUAGAGAUAUUGGUUGCUUGCAACUAAUUCAAUCAGCUCAAUAGUCUCCUCUGGUGUCUUCUUCUUGUGCAAUGAACCGCCUGCAGAGGUAUCUAAGCUCAUCUUUGACAUCUCUCCUAAGCCUUCAUAAAAGAUAUCCAGUUGGGUCCACUUGGAGAACAUGCCAGGAGGGCAUUGCCUAGUCAGUAGCUUGUAUCUCUCCCAAGCUUCAUAAAGAGUUUCACCCUCCUUCUGUCUGAAAGUCUGAACCUCCAACCUAAGCUUAGUCAGCUUCUUUGGUGGGAAAAAUUUAGUGAGAAAUUCAGUAACGACCUUUUCCCAAGUAUUCAGACUCUCCUUUGGUUGGGAGUCUAGCCAUAGCUUUGCUUUAUCCCUCAGAGCAAACAGGAAAAGCAUGAGUCUGUACACCUCUGGAUUCACUCCAUUUGUCUUCACAGUAUCACAUAUCUGCAGAAAAUCAGAAAUAAAUUGAUUUGGAUCUUCAUGAGGAAGUCCAUGAUACUGGCAGUUUUGUUGCACCAGGGUGACCAAUUGUGGCUUCAACUCAAAGUUGUUUGCAGUUAUAGGAGGCACCACAAUGCUUUUUUCAUAGAGAUCCGCAGUAGGGGCAGAAUAAGAGCCAAGCACUCUCUUCUGUUGAUCAUCCCCAUUCGGAUUUACCACAUUGGCAUUAGCAUUAUUAUUUGCCAUGGUGGAUUCUGCAGUCUUGCAAAGUCUUGCUUGUUGUAAACGUCGCCUGAAAGUUCUUUCAGGUUCAGGGUCAAAGUCUAAGAGAUGUUCUUUGUCUCUGUUCCUGCGCAUACACAAGCAGAAAACAAGAAAAAAUGGGACUCUCUACGUCAGAGUGCAGAGAAGUCCCUGUGAUGUAACCUGUGUACAAUAAUAAAAUAAAACUACUAAAUAAAUAAAUAAAUAAAUUCAAAAAUUAAAAAAAAAUAAACAGAAAAAUAAAAUUAACUGGGUAACACCAAACUUAAAUUCAGAAAUAAUUUUUUUUAGACAAAAAUAAAGUAAAACUAAAAAAUUAUAGAAAAUAAAAAAUAUAAUAAAAGAAAAACAAAAUAACACGAAAGUAAAUAAAUAAAAAAAUGGAAUUAAAAAGAAAAAUAAAUAAAGGAAAGAACGACGAGAUUUGAAUAAGAAAAAAAAACGAAAUUAAAAGGAAGUAAGAAAAGAAAAAAAAAAAGAAAACAGGGGAUACGGGAUAUGGGAAAUAUUAACGCAAAGAAAGAAAAAAAUGAAAAAUAAAAUAAAAAAAAAUAAAAAAUAAAAAUACUAAAGGAAUAUAAUUAAAGAAAAAAAAUAUCUAAUCUAAGCAAUCAAAGAACGAGUAGUUGUCAAUCACAGUCAAUUUCCCGGCAACGGCGCCAAAAAUUUGGUGCGGUAUUUUACAACCACACUUACUAACCGGCAAGUGCACUGGGUCGUACCAAGUAAUACCUUACGUGAGUAAGGGUCGAUCCCACGAGGAUUGAUGGACUAAGCAACAAUAGUGUUUGAUAGGCUUAGUUAGACAAACAAAAAUUGGUGUUGAGAUGCAGUAUAAAAGAGAUUAAACAAUAUAAAAAAUAUUGAAGAAAGGCAAGUAAUUAAGUUGGGAGUAAUAUAUGGAGAAGGCAGUUAAGGCUUCAGAGUUAUCUAUUUUCUGGAUUGACUUUUCUUAUUAACUAUUUUAAUUACGCAAGAUUUAAUUCAUAGCAAACUAUUUAUGACUAGACCCUAAUUCCUUAGACCUUUCCUAGUCUUCUCUAAAAUUUAUCAACUGCCAAUUCCUUGGUCAAUUAAUUCCAAUUAGAGGGUGAUGAUCGAAUCCUAGUUUAUAUGCCACAAGAAUCCUAAUUAUUCAAAGAUAAAGGGAUUAUAUGUCACGUAUCCCGUUAAAUACAAACAAUUAGAAAUUCAGGAUAAUAUGUUUUCAAGCUAUUGUUCAAGUAAAGAGCUUUUCCAAGUUUUACAAGAACUCAAAUAGAACAUGGGUCAUACUUCCGUUCCACCCAAAUUCAUAAAGUAAAGAACAAAAACAAUUAUUGAAAUAUAAAUCAAAACAUGAAUUAAAAUAGAAAAAUAAUAUUAUCAAUCCAUACAAUAGACAGAGCUCCUAACCUUAACAGUGGAGGUUUAGUUGCUCAUGGAAAAGAGAAAAUAAGGAUUCAGGUAAGAAUGUACCGCCUUCCAAUCUGAUGGCAUCAGAUCUCUUUUUAUAACUAAUCCUAAUAAAUUUAAAAUCUAAUAUUUAAAAUUAAACUUAAAAUAAUAUCUUUUCCUACUUUAAGAUUUGAAUUUAAAUUUGAAUUAAUUAAUAGAUCUUCAGUUGAUGGGUGGGGACCACUUGAUUUGUCCAUUCUGCAGCUUCUAAUCUGUGAUUUCUGGGCUAAGAACUGGGUCAAAACGGCCCAGAAAUCGCCCCCAGCGUUUUUCUACAUUUUCUGCACGUGGCGCAUGUGACGCAUCCGCGUCGUCCACGCGUUCGCGUCAUUUGUGCAGAUUCCAGUCCACGCGUUUGCGUCAGGCACGCGAUCGCGUCAUUGCGAUUUCCUCCAUUCCGCGCGGUCGCGUGAGCCAUGCGUCCGCGUCGGUAUUCGCUGGUCAUCUCCUUGGCUUCUUCUCUUUCUCUGCAGAAACUCCAUCAAAUUCCGCCAAAUGCUCCCUAAAAUAAACAGUAUUGUACAAAACUCAAAAUAGCAUCCAUAGUGGCUAAAAUAUAAUUAAUUCUUAAUUAAACUCAACAAAUUAGAUGCAAAUUCACUAGGAAAAGAUAGACAAGAUGCUCACGCAUCAGUAUGCUGACAAGUUUGAGGAGCUGUUCAGAUUCUCUCGUAUGUGUCAAGGGACUCCGGUGGAAUAUGAGGAAUGGAAGUGUGUUAAGUACGAAGGAGGACUCCGGAGCGAUAUUUUCAGUUCAGUGGGACCAAUGGAGAUUAGGACUUUCUCCGAAUUGGUGAACAAGUGUAGGGUUGCUGAAGAGUGUGUGAAGAGGGCAGCCGCUGAGAAAGGAAGUCACAAAGGAUCAUUCCCACAGAACCGAAGGAAGAGCUUUGCACCUAGAGGUCCACCUUUUAAGAGGGGAGGUUCUUUUAGGAGGCCCAACAACAACAACAACUCCCAAGGGAAAAAGUUUGGGAAGCAGCCUCAGAAUGAUCAAGCUUGUACUAGGUGUGGAAGUCACCAUCCGGGAGCACCAUGCAAGGCCAGAUGGGAUUUGUGCUACAAUUGUGGAAAGGCGGGGCAUAAAGCCACUAGUUGUCCGGAGAAACAAAAGCAAGGUGCUGGGAAAGCACAACAGACUGGUCGAGUGUUCACCACCUCAGCUGUGGGUGCAGAGGGAUCCGAGACACUCAUUCGAGGUAACUGUGAAAUGGCUGGUCAAACUUUAAAUGCUUUAUUUGAUUCGGAAGCAUCGCAUUCAUUCAUUGCAUUUGAGAAAGCCCAUGAGUUAGGAUUGAAGAUCGUAACCUUAGGUUAUAACUUAAAAGUGUAUAAUGCUACCCAUGAAGCCAUGGUAACUAGGCUAGGAUGCCCGAAAGUUUCGUUUAGAUUCAAGCAGCAUCAUUUUGUCCAUAAUUUAAUCUGCUUACCGAUGAUCGGUCUUGACCUUAUCUUGGGAUUGGACUGGUUAUCUGAGAACCAUGUCCUGCUUGAUUGCUCUACAAAGUCGGUGUACUUUAUGCCGGAAGAUACAGAAGGGCCAGUCGUGGUGAAUAAUUAUUACUUGAAUUCGAUGAUGGUGAACUGUUCUGGAAUCGAAUGUCAGGGUAUCCUGUUGUUAACCGCUGGUGUUUUGGGUGAUGAUCAACGGUUGGAUCAGAUUCCGGUAGUGUGUGAGUUUCCGGAAGUGUUUCCCAAUGAUAUUGAGGAAUUUCCACCUAACCGAGAGGUCGAGUUUGCUAUUGAGUUGGUGCCUGGGUCGGGACCAAUCUCAAGUGCUCCUUAUAGGAUGUCACCGUUAGAGAUGGCCGAGCUAAAGUCUCAGUUAGAGGAAUUGCUGGGUAAGAACUUUAUCCGACCAAGUGUUUCCCCGUGGGGUGCUCCAGUGUUACUAGUAAAGAAGAAAGAUGGAAGUAUGCGGCUCUGUGUGGAUUACAGGCAGCUGAACAAGGUCACCAUAAAGAAUAAGUACCCAUUGCCGAGGAUUGAUGAUCUCAUGGAUCAGUUACAAGGAGCUGGGGUUUUCUCUAAGAUCGAUUUGCGAUCCGGUUAUCACCAGAUAAGGGUGAGGGGUGAGGAUAUCCUUAAGACCGCUUUCAGGACUCGUUAUGGUCAUUACGAGUAUACUGUAAUGUCUUUUGGGUUGACGAACGCUCCUGCAGUGUUUAUGGAUUACAUGAAUAGAGUGUUCCGUCCGUUUCUGGAUAAAUUCGUUGUUGUCUUUAUUAACGACAUACUGAUUUACUCCAAGACUGAAGAAGAGCAUGCAGAACACUUGCGGACCGUGUUGCAAAUUCUAAAGGAGAAGAAACUCUAUGCGAAAUUGUCUAAGUGUGAGUUUUGGAAGGAUGAGGUGAAGUUUUUGGGUCACGUGGUGAGUAAGAAGGGAAUAGCCGUAGAUCCAACUAAGGUAGAAGCUGUGAUGGAUUGGAGGCAACCAACUACAGUAACUGAGAUAAGGAGUUUUAUGGGUUUAGCUGGCUAUUACCGAAGGUUCAUCAAAGGAUUUUCGCAAUUAGCCUUGUCGUUGACAAAGUUAACUCGCAAAGACACUCCGUUUGUUUGGACUCCUGAGUGCGAGGAGAGCUUUCAGGCAUUGAAGAAAAAGUUAACCACUGCACCUGUGUUAGUGUUACCUGAGCCGAACGAGCCUUUUGAGGGGUACUGUGAUGCCUCAUUAAAGGGUCUAGGAUGCGUGCUAAUGCAGCAUCAUAAUGUGGUGGCGUAUGCCUCACGACAGUUGAGACCUCACGAAGUUAGUUACCCUACGCACGAUUUGGAACUCGCUGCGGUUGUGUUUGCCUUGAAGGUGUGGAGACAUUAUCUCUAUGGGGUUAAGUUCCAAGUCUUCUCUGAUCACAAGAGCUUGAAAUAUCUCUUUGAUCAGAAAGAGCUUAAUAUGAGGCAAAGGAGGUGGAUGGAAUUAUUGAAAGACUACGACUUUGAGUUGAAUUACCAUCCGGGGAAGGCAAAUGUAGUGGCAGAUGCGUUAAGUCGGAAGUCGUUAUAUGCGGCUUGGAUGAUGCUUCAAGAGGAGAAGUUGCUCAAGGGAUUCGAGAGUCUAAAAAUUGGUGUUCGAGAAGUAUCUGGAACCUUGUGGUUGAGCCGAUUAGAAAUCUCGAGUGACUUUAAGUCCGAACUCCUAAAGGCUCAUGAAAAUGAUGAAGCAUUAUGGAAGGUGUUACCGGCUAUCGAGCAAGGAAAACAGAGGAGAGUGUCGGAAGAAAAAGAUGGGUUAUGGAAAUUCAAGGGUAGGAUCAUUGUGCCGGAUGUUGGUACUUUGAGGCAAGAUAUCUUAAAGGAGGCACACAAAAGCGGAUUCUCCAUUCACCCGGGAAGGGAUUGCCAAGGACUAUGACUGGUUUUGAUGCUAUCUGGGUGAUUGUGGACCGUCUGACGAAGUCAGCUCACUUUUUGCCCGUUCGGAUGACUUACACCCUUGAGGAGCUAGCACGGUUAUACAUAAAGGAGAUUGUGAGGUUUCAUGGUGUACCUGCUACUAUAAUCUCUGAUAGAGAUCCUCGUUUCACUUCGAGGUUCUGGGGUGCAUUUCAGAAAGCUUUUGGAACCCGAUUAAGCUUGAGUACAGCGUACCAUCCUCAAACAGAUGGUCAAUCCGAGAGGACGAUCCAAACCCUAGAGGAUAUGUUGAGAGCUUGUGUUUUGGACCAACCGGUGAGUUGGGAUCGGUAUAUGCCGUUAGUGGAGUUUGCAUACAAUAAUAGUUACCAUGCAAGCAUCGGAAUGGCUCCGUAUGAGGCAUUGUAUGGGAGGAAAUGUCAAUCUCCGCUAUGUUGGUAUGAAGCUGGAGAAAAAGGCUGGUUGGGGCCGGAAAUGAUAGCUGAGACCACAGAACAAGUCAAGAAAAUCCGAGAUAGAAUAAUUACGGUGCAGAGUCGCCAGAAGAGUUACGCCGAUCAGAGGCGGAAGCCCUUGGAAUUUGAGGCAGGAGAUCAUGCUUUCCUGAAGGUUACUCCGACCACAGGAGUAGGUAGAGCGAUUAAAGCAAAGAAGUUGAAUCAUUGAUACAUUGGUCUAUUUCAGAUCCUGGAGAGGAUUGGGCCGGUGGCGUAUCGGGUGGCUCUACCACCUCAUCUUUCGAACCUGCACGAUGUGUUUUACGUGUCACAGCUUCGGAAGUACACUCCUGAUGCUAGCCAUGUGUUAGAACCUGAAUCAGUUCAGUUAAGAGAAGAUUUGACGCUUCCAAUGGCUCCAGUUAGAAUUGACGAUACUAGUAUCAAACGGUUGCGUGGAAAAGAGGUUUCAUUAGUCAAAGUGGCUUGGAGUCGAGGCGGUGUUGAGGAACACACUUGGGAACUUGAGUCGGAGAUGCGAACGGAUUAUCCGCAUUUAUUCUCAGGUAAUUGAAUUUGAAUUUUGUGGGCAAAAUUCUCAAUUAGGCGGGUAGAAUGUAAGACCCGGUUAAUUAACGGCUAAUUAACCCAUAAAUGAGAAUUUAUUCUAGAAAGCCAAAAAUGUUAUUUUUUAUGGCUAAAUGUGAUAGAGGAGAUUGAGACGAGAAUUUCGGUACCAAUUUUAUAGAAAACGGACCAAGAUUGGACCAAACGGGCCAAACCAGGCCAACCGGACCCAAAGUGGGCCCUUGGCCCAACUAAACUAAACCAAAACUCUAGUUUUCAGCACUCUCUCUCCUCACAACACACUCAAACACGCUGAAAUGGUGGAGAGGAAGGGAAGAACACUCUCUCAACUUCUUUCUCUCACUUGAUCUUCAAACCACCAGAACUUUUGAUCUAGAGCUCCGAUUGCCGCACCGUUUGUGGGCACGCGUUCACCGCAGAGAGCUCUACAAAACCCAUACAAUCAAUCUUGAGAUAAGCUACGUUUUGCUCUUCGAAUUUCCAGCCUUGAUUUCGAGUUUCAUGAGUAAAAAUAUUGAGAUUUUGGGCUCUUUGAUAUUAUAGGACCCAACUCUCUUGAAGGAGAAGAUUAAUCUUGUCUCCUUGGACCUUGAGUAAGGUAAGAUAUCUCAAACCCUAGUGAGAAUGUUGAACUUGUGGUUGUGGGUGUUGAGCUCUUGUGUUUUGGUAUGAUGAUUGUGGCUUAGGUUGUGUAUAUGUGAAUAUUGGAGCUUGAUUGGUGAUUUUGGAAAGCUUGGGAGAGGGUUUUGUGUGACAAAAUAUGUUCUUGGAGGUGUUGAGACCUUGAGAGCUUGAGGAAAAGUGGUUUGGAAGUGCUCCGGUUGAGCUUGGGAAAUCGGCUAAGGUAUGGUUUCGGUUUUCUGUAUCUAUUAUGUAAUGUGGUAGGAAAUACUUAGGCUAGAGGCCCUAAGAUAGGCAUUGAAUUGUUGGUGUUGUUGAAUGGUUGAGAUAUAUGAUGUGUUCAUAUAUGUGAUUAUGAAUAUUGAUGCCUUGAGCCUUGAAUAUNNNNNNNNNNNNNNNNNNNNNNNNNNNNNNNNNNNNNNNNNNNNNNNNNNNNNNNNNNNNNNNNNNNNNNNNNNNNNNNNNNNNNNNNNNNNNNNNNNNNNNNNNNNNNNNNNNNNNNNNNNNNNNNNNNNNNNNNNNNNNNNNNNNNNNNNNNNNNNNNNNNNNNNNNNNNNNNNNNNNNNNNNNNNNNNNNNNNNNNNNNNNNNNNNNNNNNNNNNNNNNNNNNNNNNNNNNNUGGUUUUGUAUGAAAACAUGGUUUUUGGGCGUACUUUGACGGAAGAUAACCUAGACUGCGGAUCUCUAUUUUCUGCCAAAUCUAUUUAGAAAUGGAAUUGGAUCCGGGAUGUCCAUGCCGUUCGAAGAACGGGUGAAAAACGAUUUAAAAUGAGAAAGUUAUGUCCGUCGGAAGAUUGGGGGUUGAAUCUGUAAAUUCUGCAGCUUUUAACUUAGAAAAUUUUUAGCAAAAUGACCCCCCGCGCGUAGGCGCACUUGGCGCAUACGCGUCGUUCUUCGAGAAAACAUCCACGCGUGCGCGUGGUGUGCGCGGGCGCGUUGAUGCGCUGCACCAAAUGCCCAGCCAUUUUCCCGAGAGUUGUGCCAAAGUUGUGCCAGUUUUGUGCCUGGAGCGCAAGAGCACCCACACGUACGCGUGGCUGACGCGUGCGCGUCGUUUGGCUAAUUUUCAAUCUGCGCGUUCGCGCGUAUGACGCUUGCACGUCAAUGAGUUUUAAGGCCAUCCACGCGGGCGCGUGGAGUGCGCGUACGCGUGGCCCUGUUUUCAUCCCAAAGUUGAUUUUUGAGUUUUAAAAGCCAAAUUUCAUACUUCUAAGCCUCCAAUCUCACCACUUAUGUCUUAAAUCAUUAUGAUAUGUCUAGCUAUGAGAUAAGGGGCUAGUGAAUGUGGUAACUUGCGAGUGAAGCAAGGGAAAAAUGAAUGAUCAAUGAAGAUCAAAGAUGAUUAUGUGAGAUGUGGAGGAUGGCGGUGGAAGUGCUUGUUAUGCCAUGGGCCGAAGGGCCGUAAUUGUAAAUAAAUUGGCUGGUUAUGGAUUUAACCGUGAGCCGGAUGGCUAGAUUAUCGCCGUGUUACGGCAGAGCCAUGUUUAUGGCUAAGUAUAAAUGCAUAUAUGCUGUUGAAUGAAUUGUGAAUGUUGAAAGGGAAGUAUUAGUUAGACUGAAUAAUCUUUAGUCAGUUGCCACUUACGGUUUAGCUUGUUUAUAAGCUUUGAUAUUAUCUGGAGGAAGUUCUAGGAUUUCCUUCGGCUUUCCUCUAUUAUUAUGUAUUAUAUAUGUGGAAGCUGUUACCAUGCUGGGGACCUCUGGUUCUCACCCAUGUGAAUUUUGUGAUUUUCAGAUGCAGGACGCGAGGCUUCUCGUUGAGGCAUGCUGGAGACUUCUGGAUUAGCGAAGAUCCUUUGUUCUCGGGACUCUGUUUUGGGUUAUAUAUUUUGUUUAGAUACUUUUAUCUCCAUUAAAUAAUACAAACUGUGAUGACUCCUCUUAUAGGAGGUUUUGGAGAAUAGGUUUCUGUAUUUGUGUCCCUUUGGGUUUUUCUUAUUUUAUUAUAUGUAUAUAUUGCUAUGCUCGGACCGGUUAUCUUCGCAGCCGGAUUUUGAGUCUUGAUAUUCCUGUUUUUCACACUCCCUUGUAUAUAUAUAAUCUCGCGUUAGCUUAUCCUUUGCUCGUUACGUUAUCGAUCGGAGUGUUGCGCGUUCGAGUUACGGUUUUUGUUUACCCCUUUUUCUACAAAGGCUCCUAGUUAUAAUCAAUUAUUCAUACUACUAUACGUACUAAAUUUUUGUUUUAGAGGUCGUAAUACCUUGCCAUCUCUGAAUUAUGACUUAAGCAUAAGUCUCUGUAUGGUAGGAUGUUACAGUAGGUGCUGCUUUGACUAAUGGUUAGUGUUAAUGAAUGCCUUAGGCUCGUGUAAAGGAUAGUAACUUGCGGGAGUUUACUAUAGAGAAGACUUGUAAUUACGUCACCCAAAAAAUACCUUUUACAUUUGGGCUUUGCAAGUAAGUGGACAAAUUUAAAUAAAUUGUUAUGGUUUUUAUUAUUUCUAAUACUGGUAUAAUAUAAGUGGUUAUGGAUUUGUGAAACAAAAUAUCUUGUCGAUUUAUUGAAGUCAGUGAUGAAACCAUAUUUGAUGAUAAAUUUUGAAUUGAUUUGAGUGGAUUUCAUCAUACAAACCAAUAUUUAUUCACCUAAAUAGCAUGCUUUUGUGCUUUCUCUUUAAAUUAUGUCCAAUCUUGAAAACAUGCUAUUUUGCGCUUAAUUUGAUCAAUUUUAUUCCACUUUCAUUCUAUUCGAUGCCUUGAUGUUUUGAUGAGUGAUUGUAGGAGUAAUAGGUUAGAAUGGCUUGAUAAGGGUGGAAAGAAGCAUGCAAUUAGGAGAAAACAUGAAAGAAACAAAGGAGAAGCACACAGCCAAGUGUGCGUACGCACAACUUUCUGUGCGUACGCACAAGUGCAGAAAUCAGCAUGUGUGCGUACGCACAAGUCCCUGCACAUGACUUCAUUAAAAAGUCACAUGGCUCGCGAUUUGGGAGGCUUUUUGGCCCAAUUCUGAAGGGUUUGAAGCUUAUAAAGGAGGGGCUAGCAACCAUACAACCUAACAACUCAUACCAUACAUUAUACAACACACUUAGGAUAGUUUUAGGUAGUUUAGUUUAGGUUUUUCUCUCAAUUUUUCUUAAGAUGUAAUUAAGGUUUUUGCAUUCUCCAAUUUUGAUCUUGGUCUCUAGCUUAUUUUCAUUGUAAGUAUUUCUUAAUUUUCUCUUUUAUUACACUACUUGUUCUACACUUUCUUAUAUUUUAAUUUCCUUCAUCAAUACAUAUAUACUUUUGCAAUUUUGAGUUUUGAUUAAUGAAUUUGAUGUUUAGUGAUUUUUAUAUGUUUAUUGAGUUGCCAUUGUUGAUUUUAUUCUUUUGUGGUUCAUAGUUUUUUAUCAAUUUCUGAAUUUUGCCAUGUUUUAUGAUUAUGCCCACCAUGUGUUUGAUGAAAUACCAAUUUUGAUUAUGGGAAAAAUUUCCACGCCUUGGCAUAGGAAAAUGAGUAUAUGGAAUACUAGAGUCAUAAUGUCCGACAUUUAGUGAUAAUUCUUGGGUUGUUAGAUGUUAUUGUUUCCACUAACGCUAGUUUUUUACCAAGGUAAUUAGUAAGUUAGCUAGGAUUUAUGGAUUAAUAACAAUUAUGCUCACUUGACUUAUUCUUUGAUGUUAAGGGUUGACUUGGUGAGAUUAAUCCAUCAUAAUUAUCAUAGUUGUGGUUAUGGCAAGGAAGGAAUUCCAUAACUCAUCCCAAGUCAAGGCUUCCAUUUAUGUUUUGAACCACCUUUCCAUCUUUUUAAGCUUUACUUGUUCAUACCAUAUAGAUAGUUCUUUAAUUCCUUUAUUAGUUUAUUAAUUAUAAUUUUGAUCAUUCUUUAAUUCCUUUAAUCGUUUGCCUCACUAUUGAAAACCCUUUGAUUUUCACAACCAAAAUUGUGCACUUGUUGUCACUAGUUCCUAGGGAGAACGACCUGAAGUUUUAUUACUCUCGGUUAUUUUAAUUUGAAUUAAACUUUGAUUGAUGAGAUUUAAUUGCCAGAUUGGACUAUGCUACUGACGAAGUGAUUCGUGUUUUGAGAAAUUUUAAACCGGCACAAAAUCUCACUCAUCAAGUUUUUGGCGCUGUUGCUAGGGAGCUAGUGCAAUUGAGUGCCAUAAUUUUGAUUGUUGUGCAUAUGUGAAUAGUGUGAAUAGAUACUUUUUGGGUUGUUUGUUUGCUUUUGUAAGUAAUUAGGAUUUUGUUUCUUUUGUUACUUGAUGUCUUUUGUUUUUAUUUUCUAUUUUUCUUUAUGAGUUAUCACUCUCUUUACUUGGAGAACAGUUAUGAUCAUUUUGUAGGGCUUGAUAACUUCAAUUUUGGAUUGCAUUAUGGAAUGGAAAAUUCAAUUGAGGAAGGCGCAAUCUCCUCCUUAUUACAAUGAGUCAAACCCUCCCCAAUAUGCAUACCCAAACCAAGGAUAUGGUGGAUUUCCCAAUGAUUACAUACUUCCACCACCAUAUACCUAUGACCCAUACCCCCAACAUAAUUCUCAAUCACCACAUUUUCAAACACCACACCAAUACCAUCAUCCACCUCCUUACAUACCAUCUCAAGAUACUCAUCAACGUGAACUACCUCCCACAUAUACAACCUUCCUCCCAAACAAUGAAACCCCUUUUUCACCACAAUGUAAAAUUCUCCAAUCCUUGACCCAAGAGCAACAAGACCUUCAAGUCUUUCUCUAAGAGCAAGAAGAACUUCGAAGGACACAAGGAAAACUCAUGUCUACCAUAGCCGAGGCAGUGAACCGUUUAGUCCUUCUACGCUCAUCCGAUCAAGGCACUCCUCUUGAAGAAUGUGAAGGACCAACUAAAGAAUGGAGUGAAGAGGAGAACAUGAAGCCUCAGGUGGAAGAAGAGGAGCUAAGGUUGGAACCGCAACAAGAGGAGGAAAGUGGGAUGAGUGAACCGGAAGAGGUAGAGGGAGAAUUGAGGAAGAUUGAUCUAGAUGUGGAUUCCAUCAUCGACAAUUUUUUGUCCACAUUGGUCAAUCCCCUUAAUGAUCUUAAUGAACCUCUUCCCAUUAAGUUUGAAAGAGAUACGGAGGUAGACUUCUCACAACCUCCUUCUUAUGAUUUGAGUGAUGGGGAAGAGGAAGUUGGUGAGGAAUCAAUUCCGUUCCAAGAGCAUAUUGAGUGGGUGGCUGAUAAACCACUAUUUUAUGGUUUAUCUUGUGCUCAAUUGAGUGGAUUUUAUCAACUCUUUACCCACUUAUUCAUACUAUUUGCAUGAGUUUACAUUCUCAUUCUUGAUUUUGUGAUAUGAUUGAAAACAUGCUUCUUUGGCCUUAAGUUCCCUACGUUUAAUCCUCUCUUAUUACCAUUAGAUGCCUUGAUAUGUGUGUUAAGUGAUUUCAGAGAUUAGUGGCAGUUUCACCGAUGAACUUCAUUGGCCCCAUCAAUAUGCUAUCUUGGAGACGGAUUACCAACCUAAGGUUCUUCUUGGGUUGGUACAUGGUGGAGAAAGGGGUGUUGGUUGCCAUGUGAAUCCAAGGUUCUUCAAGAAAACCAUUUCAAGAGUUGGAGUUCAAGUGGGAUGCAAGGCACAAUUAUGUGAUUUCCAGAGAGUGUUGGGUUACUUCAAGGGUAAUUUAAGAGUUUGUCCAUCCGACUUGAAGCAUAGAGAUCAACAAGAAGGAGAAUGGGAAACUAGAAUAUAGGAUCCCGGAGGAGCUUUGAAGUGCAAGCUUGGAUGGAGAUUCAAGGAGGAGUGGAAACAUAAGCCACCCUAACAAGAGUCUCCUCAAAAAGUCUAACUUAAGGACUUUAAAUAAAAGUGGUAGUUGGGAGACACCCCACUAUGGUAACAUUGUUUCAACCCUUCUCUUUGUUUAUAAUUUGCCUUAACUGCAUUUUUGUUUGUCUUAGCUAGAUUAGGAUUAGUUUAAUUUUGAGCAUAGGUAGGUUGAUUUUCAUAUGGAUCAUAAAUUUAUGGAUUUCUGGAUGUUUUGGGUUGAAAUUUGUGUUGAGCUAAGGAUUAAGGGACUUAGAAAUUAAGAAAUUUUUUUUUUUGGAAAAACAAGGCAUUGUGCGUGCGCACACAGUUGUGCGUACUCACACAAUCACUGAAUUCUGCGUCCUGUGCGUACGCCGCACACUUGUCUUCACAGCCCCUGUUGGGAGCGCUCGCACGCUUUUGUGCGUGUGUGCAUCCCAGUUUUUGCUCCUUGUAUGUGCACACAAGCUUGUGCGUACGCACAAAAACCCCAAAUUCCUCAUUUUGUGUAUACGCACACUCAUUUGCAUCCCUUCUGUUGGAAGCGCUCGCACCUCUCUGUGCGUGCGCACCUUGGCCUUUUUGCUCUCUGUGCGUAUGCACACAUGCUUGCGCAGGCACACAUGAUCUGUAAAAAAAAAAAGUCUUCUGUGCGUAUGCACACCUUUGUGCGUACGCACACAUCUUAAUUCCCUCUCUGCUCGGAGCAUUCGCACAUGUCUGUGCGGACGCACACCCCCCAUUUUUCACCCAGUGUGCAUGCACACACCUGUAUGUGCGUAUGCACAAGUGCUGCUUUGGGCAAAAUUUUGAUUUCACUUUGAAUUAAACCCUAAGGCACUUCCACCCCUCUCCAUCUCUCUCUUUUCUUUCUUUUACCCUUUUUUCUACUUAUCCUAGUUAGUUUUAUUUGCAUUUCAUUUUGAUUUUAGUAAUUUUAUUAGGUUUGAUUUAGUUGUUUGUCAAUUAAAUAAGUUGCAAGUAUUUUCUUGAUGUUGAUUAGGUUGCUUCUUGCUUGCAAUUUUGGCUUAAUUUUUUAUUAAUAUGUGCACUAAGCAUUAAGUUUUUGUUUAAUUGCCUAAAUGAAUUGUGAGUUUGAUUCAUAUGUUGUAGCUACCAUAUGUAUUAGACUAUAUCCUUGUUUGGCAACUUAAUCAUGAAUUGUGCACCUUGGAUGAUCAUUGAUGUUAUUUAAGAUUGAAGUUCAUCAAUGCACUUAUACUUUGUCUUAAUUUACUAAGUAUCUAGUGGGUUUAAAAAUUCAUGUUUUGAUUACACCCUAGGACAAAUUAUUUGUAAGUGCAUUGAAUAUUAGUGAAUUGAGUUGAAUUACUUGUUCAUCAUGCCUCUCAUAUAAUCACAUUACACGGUACUUGUUUGUUUUUAAUGUUAUACAUUUGUUUGAGUGACUCGACUUGAUUCUUAUCAAGCUUGUCACUUUUUGCAACAAGUACCUUUACCAUGUGACUAUUUCAUUAUGUUUCAUGAUGAAUAAGGAGUUUUCUUUUCAUUAUUAGAUUGGUUAUUGUUUAUUGUGCUUCUAUAUCAAUUUUGCACUUUCCCUUGCACAAUUUCAAUAUCCAAUAUCUCAAAUAUUCAAUUUACUUUAGUUGUGGUUACCUAGGUUUUUAUGUGCCUUAUCUCUUGCUAAUGCUUUACUUGCAACCUAGGCUACUUAAUUGAGGAAUACAUGCUAUUUCUUUUUUAUUGUGUGGUUUUUGUUUUUACCCGGCCAAUGCGUCUGUUCUAAACCGUGCACACUUAGAUACACACAUUGUCGUCUAUCAUACCACACUCAUUUGAACUCUUCCUCAAUUCCUGUUUAAUUAUUUUAUACAGCAACCCGAGUCCGGUGCCCACCAGAUGAAGGUGGAGCCUCUUAGAGUCUUUCAUCCCCCGGAUUACAUGCGUGCACAGAGGACCGUGCAAUAUUUAAGUGUGGGGAGGAUCCGCAAUUUUGGGGUGUAAAUUUCUCUUUCUAACACUUUGCACUAUUUUUUUUUUAGUUUUAAGUGUGGGGGAGGAUCCACAAUUUUAGGGUAUAAAUUUCUCUUUCUAACACUUUGCACUAUUUUUUUUUAGUUUUUAGUAGUUAUGAAUUUGGUGACUACUAGAAAUAGGGUGUUUUUGGACGAAAAUUUCAAACGAAAUUUAUUCCGUCUGAAUGACUUUUUCAUUUCGAACAAAUUUGAGACAAAUGUAGAACAAUUUUUAGUAGAGACAUUGGAAUAAUAUAUUCUAUCCUAAAUUUGCCUAAAUUUUGUCCUAAAUAUUGGCGCCAAUUUUUUUUUGGAUGGCGCCAAAAUUUUCAUACAGAUUAGCAACACAUUUUGGACAAAAACUAUAAUUCGUCCGUAUUCUAUCUGAAUAUGCGCAAUAACUUCAGACGGAUUUGGGACGCAUUUUGAAAAAUGUUAAUUCUAUCCCAAAUUUGUCUAUAAUUAGUCUUAAAUGCUUUUACUAUAGCUAACCCUUCGAAGUAGCUAAAAUUUUUUCCCACAAAUUUGGGACGAAAAUAACAUCAUUUGUAAAUUCUGUUUGGAAGUGCAUCAGUUUUCAAACAAAUUUUAAAUGUUUAUUAAAAAAUUUUAACAUUUAGUAUAAAAAUAUUAUUUAUAUUUUAAAUUAGUCUAUUAUUUUUUAAUUUAUUCUUUUAAUUAUUUACUUUAUAAUCAUUAUCUUCGUCUUCAUCCUGGUCCUCGUCCUCAUUCUCAAAUGUCUCAUCAUCAUCAUCAUCUUCAUAUCUUGUACUAUCGGUAUCCAAUAAAUCAAUAAUAGUGUCAAUAUUAUUUGAGAUAUGAUUGUUAGAUUGAUUUGUGACAUCUUCUUGAUAUGCAAAAUCUUCUGUGUUUCAAUCUCAAUCUCACCUCUUGCUUUAGUCUUGAAUACAAACCACCAUUCUGCUUUUAACAAAAUGAAAUAAAAAUAAAAUAAAAAUAUUUAUGAUAGAGUAAAAUUAACAAAAUACUUAUUGUNNNNNNNNNNNNNNNNNNNNNNNNNNNNNNNNNNNNNNNNNNNNNNNNNNNNNNNNNNNNNNNNNNNNNNNNNNNNNNNNNNNNNNNNNNNNNNNNNNNNNNNNNNNNNNNNNNNNNNNNNNNNNNNNNNNGUUCCAAUUAAUAUAGAAUAGCUAGAUAUUCUUAAAAUAUUAGUGAAAAUAUAUAUUUUAAAUUUUAAUUUUAAAAUUUUGACUAUUUUUUAUUUUAUAUUUAUAUAGGACUGAGUCAAUCGGUUCAACCAGUGAUCCAUCAGUUGAACUAAUGACCCAGUGAUCCAGUAAUCUGACUAGUUCGAUUACCGGUUCGGUUUUGAUAACUAAAUAAGAUAAAUUAAAUAAAGAACUACCCUUAAAGUAAUAUUAAAAUUUUUAAUAAUGAAAAUUAUAGUAAUGAACAUUAAACCACAUAAUGAUAAGUCACAAAAAAAAUCACAUAAUGAUAGUUAUUAAAAAAGAAUUUAUCUAUGAAGAAUUUUUUUCAAUUGACUCUUUUAGCACACUAUAUAUAGAUACAGUAGCUCAAAAAAAAUUUUACUUAUCUAGAAGUCUCUGGUAUGGCUUAUGAGAUGGAUUGGAGACUUAUGAGUCGAAACAGUUGUUAGUUUUUUUACUGGAGCGAUUGGGUUAGUACUUAGCAAGAACACUCCGACGCUCAAGUUAGAAUGGAUUUAUGAAAUAUAUGUGUGUGGAAUAAGGAAUGUAACUGAGGGGCCUCUGGCUCCCCUUUAUAUAAUUCGAUACAGUUAUCUUAUCUUAUCUAUCUUAUCUAUUAAUAUAAAAGGAAUUUUUAAUUUCAAAUAUUGAUUUUACUAAAUAUUUAUCUUUUAAGAUUAUUAUAUAACAAAGAUUUAAGAACAUAAUUUAAUUUAAAAAUUUUAAAAUUAAUAUUAGAUAUAAUUCUUUUUAAAUAUCUAUCAUUUAGAUAUCAAUAUUCCAUAAUUUAUUGGAUAUAUUUUUGUUGCAAUCUUAUCUUUUUUUAAUUUGUUAGUAAAAAUUAAAUAUAAUUUUAAUUUUAAAAUUUGUUAUAUGCAGUUGUUUCAAAGUCACUUAUUUAAUUUGCGCCAAAAAUAAAAAAUUUAUUCAAAACCGCCUUUUUAGUUCCAAAUAUUUUAGUUUUUGAAUGCUUUCUCGCUCGUAUGUAUCAUAACUAGCUAGGUUACCUUCCAAAAACCCAACAUUUUUUCAGCAUUCCCUUUUGGUUUCAGCGUCAGUUUUGGAUCUCCGUCUCCCUCCUUCUGCGUGCUCCCUCCUUCUGCAUUCUCUGCCUUCUGUGGUCACCGCUCGUGCUUCGCACUCAACGCUACGACAGCCACUGCUCCAGCCUCCACUCUCGCACCUCAGACUACCUCUACCCUCUAGAUUCGAACAAAAAAUCUCUUUUUUCACCCUCAUUCAGCGACGUUCGUCUUUUCCCUUUUCUCUUUUUAAGGACACAAAUCAUGAAUAAAAUAAAAUGUACUAACUAAUUCACCUAAAAAUUUAUUAAUCUAAAUCAGAAAAAAUAUAUACUCUAGACAUCAAUUACUCAUGUUAUCAUCCUCAUUAUUACUAGAGCCUGUACCGAGCUCAUUUUCUGUAGGAACAGACAAGGUUGAAGAAAUUGGGAGAUUCAACUUUUAUAUAAAGUAUCAAGUGUCUUUUUAGUAGAACUAAUUCUUUUCUAUUGAGCUUUUAGUUGACGUCCUUGAUCUUUUAACUUGUGCUCAAUAUCAUUCAACUUAACCUUUUGCUCUUUAUUGAUAAUUUCUUGCUCCUUUGCCUUUUCUUUCCAUAUGUGAAGUUCUUGCUCAAUAUUUAUAUCGUCUUUGGAUGUCUCUGGGCAAUCUCUGGAACCCAACUUUGAAGAGAGAUCUAAACCAAAAGAAUCUAAACAAAAAGCAGCUUUCUUUUUUCCUUUUGUUACAACUUCAUUCCAAAUAGGGUAAUCAUCUGGCAUAUCUAGGUCUUCCUUAGAUGCCUCAACAUGUCCCUUAUUAUCUAAGGAUAAAGCUACUUGAGAAAGUUCUGUCUUUCGCUUUUUGAAUUCACCCUACAAAACUAAUUCAUUUUAAUCGCAACUAAAUAUGCCAUGAACAAAUACUAACAUAUAGUGAAAAUUAUUUUUGAAAAAGACAAAAGAAGAACAAACUAGCAUCACAUACAUUGACUUUUUGAGAUCUUUCAUCAAUCCAACUCUUGUCGUUUUUGAUGUGGCAUUUAGUAUAAACCUCCUAUAGAGAAGGUUUUACUCCCGUAGCUUUCUCCUAUAAUAUUAUAGUUUUAAUCCAUAGGAAAGAAAAAAAAGAAUAAGAAAACAUUGCUCAUAAUAAGAACAAGACUAAAAUUUUAAACUAUUUUUAUCUUACCAUUCUUCGUGCAUGUUCACCCAUAGAUAUGGAACUACUAGUGUGCAUGAAAUCUCCAGGAUUUGAUGCUCGAUUCAUAGUAUUUGCUGUUGCCCAGUUCUUAAAAUGUGAAUCUGUAGCCCAAUAAUGCAAUAGUUGAUGCCAAACUGGUGCAAGAAUAUAUUUUGGUAUAUAGUCAGAGUCUUUUGAAUACUUGACUCUCUCUUGACUCAUCAACCCUUUUACUCGAGCACUCUCUUUAAUCUAAAAAAUUUGACAAACUCUUGCAUUGUGUUGAGGAUCCCACAUACAAUAUUUCUCUAAAAGAAAAUAUACAUAUACAAUGAAUUACCCACUAUGUAUAAUAUCAAAAUAUGCAAAAAAAUGAUAAUAAAUACUUACCUUAAAUUUAGUAAACUACAAAUCUCACAUUUGAUCACUGGCAUGUCUCCAUGUAGGGUAGCAUUCUGAAUAUUUGCUUUUAAUGGCAGUUGUUACAUAACGAACAGUAAUACAUGGAUUAAACCUAUAAACAGGUCAAAUAAUAAGUAAUUACACAUCCAUUCACAAUAAAAAUAAUAUAGAGAGAACAUUAAAACACAAAGGUGAUGGUUGUACUUACUCAUCUCCAAAAUGCACUAUUUUCAAGAGCCCUUCUUGAGUGACAGGUUUGCCUUCUUGAUUAAGAGAUUUAUCUUGAUGAUUUUUAUAUGAUGAGUGAGCAUGAUAUAAAUUUUGUUCAAUAUUAGGAUCAUUAUCAAAUGAUUGAGGUUGGAUAGGUGAACAACAUUGUGAUUCAACUGGUGAUAGUGAUGGUGAUGGUGUAUAAUCGGCAUGAAAUGAUAACAUUUUCUUGAAUUUUUGUGGUGGCUGCGAAGAAGAGGGUGGUAAUGCUGAAGGCUUUUUAGAUACAUGUGAAGGAACUGGAGCUCGUGAUUUUGUAGGUUUAGGGUGUGAAAGCUUAGUUUUGUGUGCACUAAUCACCUUCUUAUUAACAGAUUUUCGCACAUUAAUUAACAAGUAUUUUUUUUUAAUAACCUGACAUCUAAAACAACAUAAAAAUUUAUAAGAUUAGCAACACAUAUUGCAUUUAAAUUUUAGUAAUAUAUACAUCAUCGAAAUAAUUAAAAUAAUAACAAUGUAAAAUAGUACUUAGCUGCCAAAAUAAUCAAUUAGGAUAUAAAAUAAAGUGCUACUGUGCUUUAGUAGUAAACUACUAAUAUAUAUGUAUACAUAAGCAUUUUGAAUCAUUCAUAGUUAGGAUAAUACUAUAUGCACACAUAUGAUAAAACUACAGCCAAAUACACACAUUAGCAAUUAUUAAUUAAAUUUCUCAAAGAUGAUGCUUUUUUAUAUCUCGUUCUUUAUAUAAUUAUGCCGAGUUCGAAUAUGUUUAACUGAUAAGACAGACAAAAUUUGAUUCUUCUAUAGGUUAGUUAUGGGAUGGACAAGAUUCUUUGAAGGAACAAGGCUGUUUGACUGCAUCAGCUUUCCCAACAAGGUAACAACCAAAAAAACUUUAAUGUAGUAAUUAACUUUUAAAAUUUUAAUUACAUACCACAAUUUAACUUUUUUGUAGAUCCACCCUAUUCCAGUUCAUGUUGAAGAAGGUAAAUGUAUUCUAAUUUAUGGAAGAAUAUAGUGCAAUUGUUUUGUUUUCUCCUUCUAUUUACAUUUUUUAAUUCAUGAGUUAUAAUACAAAUAGGUUAGAGAUGGGGAGAAAUAAUGCUUAACUCUUGUACAUUAUAUAUCAUUACUAUUGCUCACUACAUAUUAGUCGUGUAAAAAUUAGGUAAUAAUUCUGUUUUGGUGGAGAAAAAAAAAAGGAAAAACAGUUAAUCAAAAUACGGCUCUUUCUUGGUAUUAUUUUUAUUGAGAAGCAGGUCCAUCUCAAACUUGACUUGCAAUUUUUGAAAGACUAGCAAAUGGCCACUUCUGCAGUGCAAACUAUUUUUGUAUUUGAAUUUUAUCUUUCUACGUUAGCCUUAUAAAUACAACAAUAUUUCUGUUUGAAUUUUGUAUUUGCUUGCACAGGAAAUAGUCUACCCAGAUAUUCCUACAAGAAGGUGUGACACCCCCAAGAAUCACGAGAUACUUUCCCAAGGAACUCAUGCUAGCAACUACGGCCCGCUAAGCAAGCAUUUCAAUCAAUAACUGAAAUGUUUCCUAAACAAGAUAACACACAAUAACAGAUUGAAGAUGCAAUAAUCCCAAAAUGGAACUCUGUAAUUGGAACUUUUGUAUCUUUAACAUCGACUCAAUCACCAUCGGUUUCUUUAACUAAAAAGAAUGGAUAAAACUACUGGUCUCUUUUUGGCGAGAGAUUCUAAUUAUAAGGUACACUCUACCAAAUUUUCUAAAACUUUUAAUAAGUUGUGUUGUUGGUUUAAUUCUAGAGUGUGUGUUGCAAUAUGAUUUCAAGUCAUUGUCUAUGGAUGUAGAUAGGGAUAAUAGUGGAGGGGGUUUAAAACUUGAAUUCUCUGAGGGGGACGCAUUUGUUGCGCAUGUCUUCAACAUGGAACCGUUUAGGUCUGAAGGGGUAUCCAGAUGUUUGUGUUAUAGGUGUCGGCUGACUAAGUGGUUAGGACCUUCGAUAUAACGCUCCACCUCUACCGUAAUGGGUUCAAGGAUGGGUAUUAGAUGUGGACAGAACAUGAAGAAGUGGACGAGUAGGAAAUUAACCGGUCUCCCUCGAAUUUAAAUAGGUCCGAUGGUCGAUCAAUGAGGGUUCGGGUGGUGAGAGAACUAAACAUGGAAGAAAUGAAUUGGGAGUGUAACCAAGAGAGAUACAAUGAGAUGGUGUUUGAUGCAAUAGGUGUUACAGAAAUGGAAGAGGUUGAACAAGAGCCUAACCCAGAGGUAAAGAGAUUUUAUCAUCUGUUAGAAUCUGCCACGACACAUUUGUUCGAGGGGUGCGUUUAUUCGAAGUUUUUUGCAUGUGCUAGAAUGAUGAGUAUUGAGUCAGAGUCAAAUCAUACCCAAGAGUCUUUUGAUAAGUGGGCCACCCUUUGCAACAAACUGGUACCUGUCAGGACCACUAGCAUCCCCAAGAGCCCGUACGAAGCAAAGAAGUUAGUUUCGAAAUUGGGUCUAAAAAUUGAUUGUUGUUUAAAUUGUUGUAUGUUGUACUACAAGAGGGAUGUAGACCUAACUGAAUGUAGAUUUUGUCAAGAGAGAACAGAUUGGUAAACAACAGUUAAAGAGAGUUCCAAUGAAACAGAUGCACUACUUACCCUUAAUCCCUAGGUUGAAACAAUUGUAUACAUCGAUGAGUUCGGCCCCUCACAUGACCUGGAAUAGUAACAACAAGAGAACACGAAAGCACAAGGACUACAAUAUCACUGAAGGUAAUAUAACAAGAAAAUAUAAGCACUAAAAUCCUUUUAUUCUACCUUAAAAUGUACGACAGAUAUACUAUUUGCCUUAUUCAGGUUCAUGCAAGUCUAGUUGGAUGAUUGUGGUUAAGACUAAGCAAAGAGGCCACAUCGAGUCUGAUGAGACAGAGAUCAAGAAGCUUGCCAGAUUGAUGACCUAACUCCUUCAAAAAUGGUGGUUGAUACCGGUGAUCCAAUCACCUUUAGGUUGCCUGUUAUGGAUGAUGAUAUCAUUGACCUUUAAAUAGAUGAUGACGCACAACCACCAGAGGAUGAUGAUCUUCAAGAAGAAGAUGGGGUCGAUGGCGACGAAGAAGAGGAAGACGAGUUCAAUGAUCAGGAAACUACUUUAAAAGAGGUGGAUGGUGAACUAGAGGAAGACGACGAUGAAUCUGAAUAGGGUUAAUGUAAAUAUAGUUCUAUCUUAUGUAUUUCUAUACCAAACUUUGAGAAGAAUGUAAUAUAAUUAGCAUUGUUUCAGAUAUUCCAAAUACCAUUAUUCCGUAUUUUUAAUUUGUAUAUUUGAUAUUUCACAUCAAGUUUAAAGCAUUGUUUCAAUUAUUAAUUAUCGGGGUACAUUAUAGAUGGACAGAAAAAAUUAUUUAAAAAGAAAAAUCUACUGUCGAAAUAUACCGACGGUAACAGCCCAGGUAAUUUUCCAAAAAAACUUAGAAAAAAUAUUUCCGUUGGCUUUUAUCGUCGGAUUAAGGGCGCGCGAAGCCGUAUGCUUUGGCGCCAAUGUUACCAUUGAAAAUUUUCUGACGGUAAGUUGCAACAGAUUUUCUUUUUUUGAUAUGCAUAUUUCGCCGCAAAAUCUGACCCAAAUUACUGUCAGAUACAUAAAUCCGAUGGUAAUUUGUUACCGACGAGGUUUGUUCCGUCGGAUAAAUUUCGACGCAAAAUUUGACGAUAAAUUGUGUACCGUCAAAUUUUAUUCGUUUUUUCGACAGUAAAUUUAUCGUUACUCAACGUUUUCUUGUAGUGACUAUUUUAAUUUAUUAUAUAUUUUGAGGUUAAAUUUUUAAUUUUGAAGGUCUAAAUUUGAAUAUAUAUAUAUAUAUGGUAACUUCUGUAGUGGCUAUAUGGUGGAGACCAAUGGAAGUAAGGCAUGGAAGGUAUAAUAGAAAUUGACCUUAUAUGGUGGAGACCAAUGGAAACAAGACAUAUGGAAGGUAUAAUAGGAACCGACCAGGAUUUUAACCAGGUUAAAGGUAGGGUAAAUCUCUUAAUGAAACAUGGUAAAUUAUUAAGUGAGUGUUAAUUUAGUAGAUGAAUUUAACAAAUAAAAAGAAAAUUAAAUAAAAAAUUAAUAAAACAAAUAAAGAAGUAAAAGGAAAAAUUAGAUUGAUCAAAGAGAAAGUAUAGGGAGCCAAUGGAAUAUUUGUACAAUGUGUACAAUGGAGAUUUAGGGAUGUCCGAUUCAGUAUUAGAGAUAUAACCAUUAGUGUUAUCUUUUCCUAUCAGCUGAAGCUUUUAGGAUGAGUGGUAUCAUGACAUGGUAUUAGAGCUCUAGAUCCAAAAGGUCAAGAGUUCGAUUUUUGGUGAACGGAUGAUAUGUUUAUUAUCCUUAGUACCCGGAUGGUUAUUCUGGAUAGUAUGGGUGAUGUUCAUAAUUAGGUUUAGAUUCUUGCCGUCGCAAGGCAAUGGUUUUGAAAUUUGCACCCCCCCUGAGGGAGGAGUUCCUUACCGUAUUGCGUUGGUUUCAUCCAAGUAAGUGCUGACUCUAUUUGUUCGCUGUGUUUUUCUUUCAUAUAGUGGAGACAGAGGAAGGCGACAGUGAGUCUUCUGACAAACACAAAGUUGCAAUGGCUGUUGAGAUCAUUGUCGCUGAUGGAUCGAGUAAGUCACCGACGAAAUUAGAGAGAAGAACCGCCGAUGCCGCUACUGUCCAUCACUAUCGUCACUAAGGACGAUGCCACUGGAAUGCUCAGCCAAGACGAGACCACUAACAAUGAAGAAACCUCAGCUAGGGAGGACAGACAAAUGACAAUGAUGAAAUGUAACUUAUAUGUGGAGGGUUUUUAUUUUUGCUGAUUUUUGUCUGAUUUUCGAUUUUCUGGUAAUCUGAAUCUUUGACUUUUUCUAGCCUAGGGUUUCUGAUUUUCUAUUUCAGUUAUAAUCUUUAGUUUUGUGUUUGUUUGAUUUUGUUGAAAUAACAUAGUUUGUGUGUGAUUGGCUUGCUCAUGAGUAAGUGACUUGAUUAAGAACUUAUAAAAAGCUAUUGUUACAUAUUUUUCUUCGAAUAAUUGCCGCAUUGUUCCUCAAUUAAGAACUCUUUUGAUGAUAUUGGUUGUUGCACUAUGUUUCUAAGGAGAAAGGGGCCAGAAUUGCAUAUAGUCAUAUAGAUAUCUUUGUAAUUGACUUCUUUAUUUAGAAACAUUUAAAUUAAUUAACAAAUUUGAUCUACAAGUUAUGUGCUGACCAACUAAAUAAAUUUUAUUUGGAGUGCAAACCAACCUAUUUGCUACCUUCUUAUGUUAGCAUAGAGGAUUUAUUGAAUAGGAAAGGAAGAGAAGAAGGGUGUGUCCAGAACAUCUACCAGAGUUUCAUUGAAUAGUCAAUUAUACAUUAUUGAUUGUGGUGAAAGUUGUAAUCUAGUGAAUUGUACGCUAAUAAUAAAUGAAAUUGUAUAUUAACUUCCUGCUUUUGAUUUGAAAACUAAUAGAUCUGUGUAUGUUAGACUUUUAUUUAUACAAAUUCUAAAAGUUUUUGUUCUAUUGCAAUAUGUUUAGUUCGAACUCAAAGAGCAAGAAAUUGAAACUUUUGGAGGGUUGGAAUUAAUGGAGUUGCAAUUCUAUGUCAUGACACUUGUCUUCAAGUCUAAGUGGCAACAAAGAGGCUUUUGAAAGGGGAUGAGAAUUGUAAUUGUGUUCUUAUACAUGUUUAAUAAAUAAUUUUUUACACAUGUUUAAUAUUUACUUUCUUCACAUUUUGACACGCAUAACAAAAAUAACUUGCCAAUAUUUCCCGCUAAUAAUAAAGGUACGAAUAAUGCUAUACAUCUUAAUUUUUUUUAUGAACUAAGUCAAAGCAAGUUAAACAAUAAGAUUUGGAAUAAUGCUUGUUAGAAACAAGAGACUGAGAGAGUAAUCUGAAAAGUGUAUUAUUGAGUUGUGUUCAGAAGUACAAUAUAUAAGGGGUAUUUAUAGGUGCUAAAUGAAUCAAAGUAAUAAAGACAUAGAAUCUUACAAUUAAUGUACAGAUAUACUAUAUAAAUAUAGACGAUACUAAUUGAUUUAAAUUGAUUCUAAUGAUUCUCUAACAUGAUUCUCUAACAUCCCCCCUCAAACUCAAGUGGAAGCUAAGGAGACCAACUUGAGUUUGGAUAACAAAGUCCGGAAACGAGUCGGGUGAUGAGCUUUCGUGAAGAUAUCAGCAGUCUGAUCCAGUGUUCCAACAGCAAUGAGACGAACAGCAUCAAUAAGAAUACGUUGCCGAACAAAAUGAUAAUCAAUCUCAAUAUGUUUGGUGCGUUCAUGAAACACAUUAUUAUGGGCAAUCUGAAUAGCACUGUGGUUAUCACAAAAAACAUCAGUAGGGGACGACUGAGGAGCACCCAGAUCUUCGAGAAGCCAACGAACCGAGAUAACCUCAGCAGUGGUGUCAGCGAGAGCACGGUAUUCAAAUAGACGAGGAGCGGACAACGAACCGAGAUAACCUCAGCAGUGGUGUUAGUGAGUCGUACGAGGAGCGGACAAGAACUGGCUGAGGACAUGUACUGGAUAGGCAAUGUCUGGUCGGGUGACAGUCAAAUAGACGAGACCGCCAACUAACUGUCGAUAGAGAGUCGGAUUAUCCAAAACAGUGCCAUCCAUAGGGGUAAAUCGAACAUUAGGCUCAAUAGGAGUAGACUCAGUGCGACUAUCUGUAAUCCCAUCGCGAGCAAGAAGAUCUGAAGCAUACUUAGCCUGAGAGAGAUAGAUGCCAUCAUCUGUGGAGAUGACAUCGAGACCAAGAAAAUAGUUGAGAGAACCAAGAUCUUUCAUCUCAAAGGUACGAUGAAGUGAGGCCUUGAGAUCAGAGAUACCAUCAACAUCAUCUCCAGUAAUGAUCAUGUCAUCAACAUACAAAAGUAGAAGGACAACUCCACGUUCGCUUUUACGAAUGAAGAGGGCAUUCUCAUGAGGACUAGAAGUAAAACCAAGACUGCAUAUGGUAGUGCUGAACUUGUCGAACCAUUCACGAGGAGCUUGCUUAAGUCCAUAAAGUGCCUUGCGAAGGAGACAAACCUUACGAGAAGGACAAGGAUAUCCCGGAGGGGGUUUCAUAUAGACUUUCUUUUUCAAGUCCCCAUUAAGAAAUGCAUUCUUCACAUCCAUCUGACUGAGAGACCAUUUUUUAACCGCAGCAAUGGCAAGGAGAGCUCUAACAGAUGUAAGGCGAUCGACAGGAGCAAAAGUCACUUCAUAAUCAAUACCAUACUCUUGCGUGCAACCUUGAGCAACCAAGCGUGCCUUAGAACGGUCAAUAGAGCCAUCAGAGCGAGUCUUGAUCUUGUAUACCCAUCUACUGCCCAUAACUUCCUGAUCAGAAGGAGGAUCAACCAACUCCUAAGUAUGUGCUUUUUCAAGUGCCUGUAUUUCUUUCUGCAUUGCUUUUUGCCAAUUUUGAUUUGUGGAGGCUUCUCUAAAUGACUUAGGUUCAUGUUGAUGAAGAAUAGUAGAAAAUCAAUGAUAAUCAAGAAGAUGAGGAGGUGGAUUCCUUACCCGAGAAGAACGAGUGGGAGGAGGAGGAAUGACGGUAGGAGCGGGAUCGCCGUCCGGACUGGAAUCAUCGGGAGAUGGGGAAGGCGGAGGGGCAGGAGCCUCGAGGGGUGGACUUGGGGUAUACCCUGUAGUAUCAUCACUAGGAAAGAGAUCAACAUUUGGGUUAGUAAAAAACGGUGACGGAGUAUAAGGAAUGGACUCAAAAAAGGAAAAACUAGAGAACAUGUGAUGCUCCCAGAAGACAACAUGACGAGAUAUACGAAUACGGCGAGAGAUAGGAUCCCAACAACAAUAACCCUUAUGUUCAGAAGCAUAACCAAGAAAAUAACACAUGCGAGCCCGAGGUUCAAGUUUAUUAUGUUCAUGAGGCUGAAGAAGGACAAAGCAGACACAACCAAAAACACAGAGAGAACUGUAAUUGGGAGAAGUACGAUAAAGACGCUCAAAGGAGGUAGUGUUACCAAGAACAAAAGAAGGGAGUCUAUUGAUAGCAUGAACAGCAGUGAGAACAGCUUCACCCCAAGCACGCUCAGGACAGGAAGAGGAAAUAAGCAUCGCACGGACAGAGUCAAGAAUAUGACGGUGUUUACGCUCAGCUCUGCCAUUUUGUUGAGAAGAACCAGGACAAGAAAACUCAGACAAAGUACCCUGUUCAGCGAGGAAAUUUAAAAGUUUGGAGUCACGGUAUUCCAUAGCAUUAUCACAUCUGAAAAUUUUAAUGACCUUUGAAAACUGAGUUCGAACCAUAGUAGCAAAGUUAAUGUAAAUCUGAGGCAACUCACAAUGAUUAGUCAUCAAAUAAACCCAAGUAAAACAUGAAUAAUCAUCAAUAAAGACGACAAAAUAUCGAGUCCCUCCCAUAGAAGCGGUGGAAGCGGGGCCCCAAACAUCAAAAUGAAUAAGAUCAAAAGGAGAGUAUGCAAUAGAGGAAUUAUUAUUAAAGGAUAAGGCAGGUUGUUUUGCAGUGAGACAAGAAAUGCAAUCUAAAGACUCAUUUUGAACUUGACCUAAAACACCUGUAGAUAUAAGAGGACGCAAUUUUUCUAAGGAGUUAUGAGCAAGACGAUGGUGCCACAAGUGAAAAGUGGAUGGAGAGGAAGCAGCACAGAGAUUUGUAGAGGGAACAUGAAGGUUCUCGAGCUCAAAUAAGCGUCCGACCUUACAGCUAGUCCCGAUGAUCUUUCCCGUCCGACGAUCCUGGAGGGGUGGAAAGAGUAGCGGGGGUAUUACCAGAAAAAGAGAGAAGUUACUUAAGAAGGGUUUCAAUAUCUGAUGGAGAGACAGAAGGUGUGUUGAGAGAUGUGGAAGAGGUGGACUCAGUAGCAGCAGCAGCAGUAGAGGCAGGCACAUGCGGAGAGUUGUUGGGACGAGGUUGAUACUUGUUCUGAUCUGAACGUGGUGGUCGAGUAGGACAGGUAGCAAUCAAGUGACCCGAGAGCUUAUAAUAAUGGCAGAACAGUUUCGGGCAGUUGGAGCCAAUGUGGCCUUUUUGUUUGUACUUACGACAUUCAAUAGAAGGACAGUCAGAGAAGGAAUGUCCAGGCCGGUUACAGUUGCGAUAGAUUUUACCCUUUCUGUCAGUGACAGCAAAGAUAGUUUCACUUCUAGAACGAAGCAAUCCCAAGCGCGUUUCUUCAGACUUGAGAUGAGGAAGAGCAUCUUCAAGACUAGGCAAGGGAUUCUGAUGAAGAAGAGAAGCCCUGACCGGCUCAUAGUCAUCAGUAAGUGCCAUCAAAAAUUGGAUGAGACGUGUCCGGUUCCUAUAAUCCUCAUAUGCCUUAGCAUUAGUGGGAUCUUUAAGAACAGGCUCACAAGAGGUCAACUGAUCCCAAAUAAUCUCCAUCUGAGCAAGAAAAUCAAAAACUGUUUGGCCACGUUCUUACUUGAGGCUAUGAAGUUCCUUAAGCAGUUGGUACUGAUGAGAGAGAUCAGAAAUAGUGUAACGUUUCACCAAAUGAUCCCAUACCUCUUUAGCAGUUUCAAAAUGCCCAAACUGUAAAUAAAUGCCAGGAGUAGAAGUGUUGCGGAAUCAAGUGAUAAUCUGAUGAUUUUUACUAUCCCAAUCUUCCAAUUUCUUUGCAUAGUCCUUCUCCUUCUCAGCAUCCUCCUUGGAUUUAGAGGCACCAUCUUUGGAUUUGUCAGUCAUAGUUGGCUUAACAGGACAAGCAAUAUCACCAGUCACAUAUCACCAUAAUUUUCGCCCUUUAAGAAAUCCUCGCAUAGCUUCAACCCGAGCCAUUAAGGAUAAUAGGGAUAGGCUAAAAGACAUCUGAUUUUUCUAUAGUAAUAGAAGAAAUAGCAAAGGGAAGAAGAAAACUGUAAAUUCGGGGCAGAAAACAAGAAAACGGAGCGCAGAAUCGAAAAGAGCUCACCAAAAAACCUUAGGGAGGGUCUCAUUUGUCCACCACGUCAGCGCCACGUCAGCAGUCAUAUCAGCGCCACGUUAGCGAGACAAGGACACGUGGCGGCACCUGAGAGGAGGGAGAGAGACACGCUGACAGCCAGGUGGAAGCGCGGGUCAAAGGCGGGUUGGGCCGGGCGUGCGCGGGUCAGGGGCGUGCUUCUGGAAGGAGAAAUAAUGGAGGUGGACAGCGAACUUCCGGCGGUGUGUGACGGCGCGUCCGGUGGCUGAUGGCGGCGUUCUCGGCGGCGUUGGAAAGCUAACAAAGAGAAGAACACGAUGAUGCCGAAGGUGACGAACCAAAGCGUCAGAAACAGAUCGAAAAAUGAGAGCAAAGAGGCACAUGUGGAAUCUGGAAGGAAGAUCAACCUGGUCGUGGCAGCGUCUUUCAGCGGCGCGUGGCGGCACGUCUGGCGGCGGAUGGCGGCGGUUCUGGUUGCGUUGGAAUCAUGGCGACAAGACGAACAAGAUGGUUACGGGGGUGACGAACCAAAGCGUCGAAAAGGGAACGAAAAGAGAGGCCAAAGAACACUGCUGGAAAGGAAAAAAAACAAUGGGGUACGGUUAUGAACUAAUAUUCAUUGAAAAAAAAAAGACCUAAGCUCUUGAUACCAUGUUAGAAACAAGAGACUGAGAGAGUAAUCUGAAAAGUGUAUUAUUGAGUUGUGUUCAGAGGUACAAUAUACAAGGGGUAUUUAUAGGUGCUAAAUGAAUCAAAGUAAUAAAGACAUAGAAUCCUACAAUUAAUGUACAGAUAUACUAUAUAAAUAUAGACGAUACUAAUUGAUCUAAAUUGAUUAUAAUGAUUCUCUAACAUGAUGCUCUAACAAUGCUAACUAUAAUUGAUUUUGUUAUGUUAGACUAAUUUAGUUUGAUUUGAUUAACAAAAAGAUUUGGAUAUAUAGCAUUAUUACGGUGCAACUAGGUAUCCAUCAUAAUUCAUCCUUUAAUCAGUCAUUAUUUAUUGUAAUAAUUAUUUUUAAUUAUAUAUCAAAUCUUCUCUUAUAUAUUCAAAAUUCAAAACUAUAUCUUCUUAAAGUUAGAAUAUUUAAAUUUAAACCAAAUAAAACAAAAAUAACAAACUAAAAUUAAACUCUAACCAAAUUAAAAUUUAAAAUAAUACUAUCAAAAUCAAUUUUUUCGGUUUUAAGAGGGUGGUAUAUAUGAUUUUUUUUGUUCUAAUUAACAAGAGUAAUGAACAUAAUUAUUUUUGAAUGAGUUUUAAAUGUGUCAAGAAAUUAUUUAGUGUGCAAUUUUAUAAUUUUAGAUGUAUUUUUAAUGUAUACAAUAGUGUUGAACAUUAGCCUAACAGUAGUGACGACUACAUUUGCUUUAUGACAAUCUUUUUUUCCUUUGAGUAUAAGAAAAUUUCUAUUUCAUUAGUUUUGUCAGCGUGGCUCAAAAAACUUGUUUAACACCUCGUUCUUUGACUUUACUGCAUGCAGAAGAAGUGCUAUAUAUAUUGAGCUGUUUCCAAAACCAAAGCUGCAAAAGAGAAUCACUUUUUUCUUAUUAUUUGUGUUAAAAAAAUAUUUAUGCUAAGAAAAUAUAAGUACAAAAUUAACGAAUCCAAUGUAUAUCAAAAGUAUUUUGUGUUAUUUUAUUAUUUUUUACGUGUUAAAAGAUUAUUUAUGUAAAAAAAAUAUACACAGAUUUAAACGAAUUUUAAAUGUGUUUUCGAGCGUAUUUUGUAUAUUGUCUUAUUAUUUUAGAUAUGUUAUGAACAUAUAUAAAAUAAUAAAAAAAUAUAAAUAAAAUAAUCACAUGAGACAUACCAGCAACUUUGAAAUGUUAAUGUAAUGUUGAAUAUCAACUUGCCUAGGUGGUACACGUCCUUCAUGAAACUAAGGAAUAAAAAAAUUGAAGUUGUAGAUUUUGUGAAUAAAAAAUGCCAAAUUUCCAUCAAUAAUAAAAAGUAAAAAAAAUUAAAAUAGUAAAUGAAGAAAAAAAAACUAAAAAUGUAAAUAAAUGAUUAUUUUUCUUGUAAAAAAGAAUAAAGAAUCACAAUCAUGAACCACAUAAUAAUGAAAAACUAAAAUAAAAUUACGAACACUAAUAGUCACACAUGGAAAUAAAAUAACAUGAAUGGAGUAAUUUGGCAUCGGAUUCGACGGUCUCAGAACGUUUAGACCAUUAAAUGGUCCCAUAAUAAAAACAUGUUUUUUAAGUUUUUCAAUAACUGUUAAAUAGUCCGUUUCUAAUUUUAAUUACAAAUUAACCCCAUAUAUUUUAUUUAAUUAUAAAAAUUAUUAUUUUCUUAUUUAAUAAUCAAAAACAAAAACAAUAACGAAUUAGAUCUUCCAUUGAUCGUAAUAACUUUUUAGCAAUUCCAAUCGAUUAAAAGUUUAUCUUUGAUCCAUUACAUCGGUCGAGGAUUUUGAAAUCAUAUUUCUUAGAAAAUCAAUUGAUUGGGUUAACAAAACAAUCAAUUAAAUUCCAGGUUUCCCAUAACUCAAUCGAUUUAUAAACCAUUAGUCAUGGCGCGAUUCAAAAUUCAAUCGAUUGGAUUAUCCUACCAAUCGAUUGAAUGCAGAAAAAAACUUAUUUACGUCACAUUUCAAUUGAUUGAAUGAUCAUAUCAAUCGAUUAAACCUUCAUAUAUCAUUUUAAUAUCGGCCUUCAAUCGAUUGAAUUAUAAAAAAUUCGCAUUCUAGUCAUCGUUCAAUCGAUUGGGUAAUAUGAUCAAUCGAUUGAUUUUUGCGAAAAGCAUACUGUCUUGCAACUUUCAAUCGAUUGUUUUGUGGUAACCUGAAGUCCAACCGAUUAAGUUAUGGGAAAUCUGAAAUUCAAUCGAUUGUUUUGUUAAUCCAAAUGAUUGAUUUUCUAAGAAACACGAUUUUAAAAUCCUCCACGGAUGUAAUGAAUCAAAUAUAAACUCUUAAUCGAUUGGAAUUGCCAAAAAGUUAUUACGAUCAAUGAAAGAUCUAAUUCGUUAUUGUUUUUUUUUAUUAUUAAUAAACAUAAUAGAUGAAUAAUAAAAUAAUAAUUUAUAAAAUAAAAAAUAAUUUUUAUGAUUAAAUAAAAUAUAUAGGGUUAAUUUGUAAUUAAAAUAAAAAAUAGACUAUUUAGCAGUUAUUAAAAAUUUUAAAAAACAUAUCUUAUUAUGACACCAUUUAAUGGUCUAAACGUUCUAGGACCAUUGAAUUCUUUGUUGAGUAACUUGAAUGACUAACUUCCUAAAAAAUGUAAAAUAUGAAAAGGUAGUUACUCACCGGUGUUAAGCAUUAAAAUUUUUAAAAUUUAAAUUAAAUAAAAGUGUUAGUGAUUCCUAAAAUAUAGGAAAUAUGAUUAAAUAAAAAUUAAAAAAUAAUAUAAUAAAGUAAUUAGAUUUAAAGGUUGGGUAAAGGAUAAACUUUAAAGAAAAAGUAGUAUUUUCCUAAUAAUAAAUAGUAAUCAAUGUUUUCACUCACAUUACUUCUCUCGUUAUUGCAUUUUUAGAUUUGAGAUUUUUUAUAUUUCAGAAUUAAAUUACAAACUUUCCUCUAAACAGAUAAAUUUUUUUUUCACACAAAAGAUAGCUGACUGAUGAGUGAGAUUUUGUGCCAGUUUAAAAUUUUUCAAAACAAGAAUCACUUCAUCGGUAGCAUAGUCCAAACCGGCAAUAAAAUCCCAUUAAUCAAAGUUUAAUUCAAAUUAAAAUAACCGAGAGUAAUAAAAUUUCGGGUCGUUUUUCCUAGAAACUAGUGACAACAAACACACAAUUUUAGUUGUGAAAAUCAAGGGAUUUUUAAUAGUGAGUCAAACGAUUAAAGGAAUUAAAGAACGAUCAAAAUUGUAAUUAAUAAACUAAUAAAGGAAUUAAAGAACUAUCUAUAUUGUAUGAACAAGUAAAGCUUAAAAAGAUGGAAAGGUGGUUCAAAACAUAAAUGGAAGCCUUGACUUGGGAUGAGUUAUAGAAUUCCUUCCUUGCCAUAACCACAACUAUGAUAAUUAUGAUGGAUUAAUCUCACUUAGUCAACCCUUAACAUUGAAGAGUAAGUCAAGUGAGUAUAAUUGUUAUUAAUCCACAAAUCCUAGCUAACUUACUAAUUACCUUAGUAAAAAACUAGCAUUAGUGGAAACAAUAACAACUAACAACCCAUGAAUUAUCACUAAAUGUCGGACAUUAUGACUCUAGUAUUCCAUAUACUCAUUUUUCCAAGUCAAGGGGUGGAAAUCUAUCCUAUAAUCAAAAUUGACUUUUCAUCAAACACAUGGUGGGCAUAAUCAUAAAACAUGGUGAAAUUCAAAAAUUGAUAAAAAACUAUGAACCACAAAAGAACAAAAUCAACAAUGGCAACUCAAUAAACAUAUAAAAAUCACUAAACAUCAAAUUCAUUAAUCAAAACUCAAAAUUGUAAAAGUAUAUAUGUAUUGAUGAAGGAAAUUAAAAUAUAAGAAAGUGUAGAACAAGUAGUGUAAUAAAAGAGAAAAUUAAGGAAUACUUACAAUGGAAAUAAGCUAGAGACAAAAUCAAAAUUGGAGAUUGCAAAAUUGUAGAUAAACCCUAAUUACAUCCUAAGAAAAAUUGAGAGAAAAAUCUAAACAAAACUACCUAAAACUACCCUAAGUGUGUUAUGUAUGGUAUGAGUUCUUAGGUUGUAUGGUUGCUAGCCCCUCCUUUAUAAGCUUUAAACCCUUCAAAAUUGGGCCAAAAAGCCUCCCAAAUCGCAUGCUUCUCUUCCACCCUUAUCAAGUCAUUCCAACCUAUUACCCCUGAAAUCACUCAUCAAAAUAUCAAGGCAUCGAAUGGAAUGAAAGUGGAAUAAAAUUGAUCAAAUUAAGCACAAAAUAGCAUGUUUCCACAAUUGGACAUAAAUUUUUUUGGACGAAUUUUGAGACGAAAUUGAAAUAAAUUUCGAACAAAUUAGAGACAAAUUUUUUUUUUCAAACAAAAUUGGGACGAAUUUAUUUUGUCCCAAAAAGCCUUGUUGCUAAUUUACAUUUUGUCUGAAAUUUCGUCCGAAAUUUUUUUAGACGAUUUUGUGACAGAUUUCGAAUAAGCAUUUAUCUGCUACAUUUCUAACUAUUAUGAUGUAUUUUAGACGAAUUUUAGACAGAUUAGCCAACAUAAAGAUAAUGUAUUUCAGACAAAUUUCAAACGUAAAAAUAUUUUAUUUUAGACAAAUUUUAAACAAAAAUAUAUUUUAUUUCAGACAAAUUUCUAAAGAAAUUUAGUCAAAUAUAACAAAUUUUUUUCAAACAAAUUUUAGACAAAUCAAAUAUCUCUUUUCAAUUAAAUUUCAGACAAAUUUAAUUUAAAAGAAUUGACGUAUUUGAAACAAAUUUCAUACAAAACAAAAAAUUAUUUUCGCACAAAUUUUCUACAAAUUUAAUAUAAUAUUUCAAACAGUUUUCAAACAAAAUUUGCUAUUUAAUAUAUAAAUAUUUUAGAAAAUAAAUUGUAUUCGAUUUGCUUUCUAUAUUAAGACCAUCAUAAUCAUUUUUUUCAUAUUACAUCAUCAAAAUUAUAAACACAUAAUAAAAUCAUGAAAAAGUUAAUUAACAUAAAAGAGUUAAAAAAAUAUUUAUUAUUAAAAUAUUUUUAUCCAUAAAUAUAAUCAAACUAAAAUAAGAAAAAAAUACUUAAACUAAAACAAAGAAAGCCUUUAAAAAGGUCAAAUAUCAUGAAUAAAAUAAAAUGUACUAAAUCGAAAUUAUAAACACAUAAUAAAGUCAUGAAAAAGUUAAUUACCAUAAAAGAGUUAAAAAAAUAUUUAUUAUUAAAAUACUUUUAUCCAUAAAUGUAAUCAAACUAAAAUAAGAAAAAAUACUUAAACUAAAACAAAAAAGCCUUUAAAAAGGUCAAAUAUCAUGAAUAAAAUAAAAUGUACUAACUAAUUCACCUAAAAAUUUCUUAAUCUAAAUCAGAAAAAACAUAUACUCCUAACUUCAAUCACUUAUGUUAUCAUCCUCAUCAUCACUAGAGCUUGUCCCAAACUCAUCUUCUGCAGGAUCAGACAAAGUUGAAGGAAGUAGGGGAUUCAACUUUUUAUACAAAGCAUGAAUUAUCUUUUUAGUAGAACCAAUUCUUUUUUGUUGAACCUUUAGUUGACAUCCUUGAUCUUUUAACUUAUGCUCGGCAUUAUUCAAAUUAACCUUUUGCUCUGACCACUGGAGAAUACAUAAACCAAAACAAAAUGUUAAAUUCAAAGACAUUGGCAAAUGAUAGAAAAAGAAAAGUGUUAAUAAAGUUGAAAUAAAACUACUAACAGUGUUAAUAGGAUCAAGAGUUUGUAUUGAAUCAACAGCACGAGGGGAAAGAAGCUGAGCUUUCUUCAAUAUGUCUGAAAACUAAAUUAAGGUAAAAAAGUAUACAAGUAUCUAGACUUCACCAUACAGUUCUCGCAAGUUAAGGCUAUUACAUGAAAUAAUCGCUUAAUAGGACCCUGAAAUAAUCGCUUAAUAGGACCCAGCCAAUAACUUCAAUAAAAAUUCAUGUAUAAAACAGAAAAUAAUAUAGCAAGAAGAAUGCUAGCAGCAAAACUAAUCAGAAGAAAUCCAGAUUUCCACCUCAAUAUCAGUACUUGAAUAUAAAUAUAUAUUUGAUUUAAUCCUAAGGCGUUCUGCUCUGAUACCAAUUUGCUCAAGGCUCUGUCACAUGACACAAAACAAAAUAAAUGCAACCAAAUUAGAGAAGGUUAACUGACUCUAAACCCAAAGCACAGUCACAAAUCAAAUAUUAAACUUCAGUGCCCACAUCAGAAAAAUCAAAUAUUAUCCCAAACUACAAUACCAGGAUGCAGGAAAGAAACCCAAUAAAAGCUAACCUCUUCACCAGACACAUAUAAAACUCGAGAUGCUUUGCCUUCACUGCAACCCUUUUCUAUCAUUGUUGCCAUCUUCCAAUCAAAUUGUGACAAUAAAAGAAAGCAUUACUGGUAAGAGUUGUGUAUCCUCUUAAAUUAAAAGAAAUCAAAUUGAACUCCUCCCAAGUCCAAUCAGCAAAAUCUGAAACAAGAUAGAUAAUAAUAACAUUACAACCACAAGAUCGAUUCUGUUACAAGUGAGCCAAUCAUUUCACUUCAUUUGUAUCCUCUUAAUUUAAUUUUUGGCAUUGCGGAUGCGAUCUAGAAAGAACUUAUUGUAUAAAUAUUGGUCUCAUAAAAUUUUAGUACCAGAAAUAAAAUCUCUCACAUAAGGACAUAUUUAUAAAGUUUAACUUUAAUGCACUUUCAGGUUAAGCAAUUUUAGACAUGCAUUCAAUUAGGUAAAGUCACCUAGCAAAAGUAAACUACUUUUUUACAUUGAUUGUAUGAAUGAGAACAGUUGUAAUUGAGCAACUAUGUAAAAAUUUUAGAUUAUUUUACUCGCAUCAAAAUUGGAUUUAUUUUGAGCUUAUUUUUCGUAAAAGCUUACCAUAAUAAGAUGCACCAACUAAGUUAGAUCAUAGCUCUUGACUCAAAUUAAAAAAAUACCUUUUGCACUUGCUCUUCAAGACAGUAGAAGAAGAAGGAUUGAUGUGCCAAUUCCUCUUCCUCUGAUCUGCUUUAAUUACAGACCAAUUUUCUGCACCAGCCUUACCUUAUCUUCCUCCUAAAGAAAUCACAUAAAUGUUUAGCAAUCUUUAUGGAAUAUCCAAUGUGAAUAUGGAAAAAAAACAUAUCAAUAUAUUUAAGAGUUUUCCCCUUGAAUAACAAUAUGAUCAAGUAACUACAAGAUACCAUGAAUGAAUACCAAUUAUAUUAGAUACCAUCAAGAUAAGCACUUGGACGAAUAAAUAAUACUAUGAAAAGUCAAAUGCUUCAACCGCUCCUAUCAAUUUCUAAUACGAAGACAGAAGUGUGUGUAUCUUAUCUAUCUUGUCUAAUGAUGUUGUACUAGUAAUUGAAGUUAAUAUACAAUAAUGUUUUUGUCCUAUUAUAUCACAUGGUGUACAUAUGAUUCUCUGCUACGCGUUAUCCAAUAAAUUUUGGUGAGGCUCACUAAUGCAUUUGAAAGAAAACAAAAUACAAAAUGCUAGAAGAGUGCAAAUUAAACAAGAUUCUUUAAUUCCAGAACAAACUAUUCACCAUUUCUUUAUUUCUAUUUUCUCUAUCCCACAUGCUUUAUAUAUACACAUAGAAACUAUGGUUACAAGCUUAACCCUGGCACUUAAAUUUAACUUUCUAAUUGCUCCAAAAAUUUUAAUAAGUACCAACUAUUUUUCUAUUAUCAAUACUACCUAUUUCAAAGCACAAUUUAUUAGAAAUGAGAAAAAUAUCAUGAAUUCAAUUAUCAGAAGUUAGAAUGCAAAAUGAAGAAACAAUAACACAAUACCCACCAAGUUAACAAUGAAAGUAAGCACCAACCACAAACCUCGUCAUAAUCAAACUCUAAAAAUUUAAAAAACUCAUCAACAAAACAUAACAAACAAAUGAUCAAACAGAGAAUAUGCAUAGUAAUAUUUUUCCAGAAAGAUAUUUGUCCUCUUCUUCAUUUUGGUUAUGAUGCACAACAUACAAGACCAAUCCUACAAUAGCAGAUAAGCCAAGGAGUACCUAGAUCCAGCAAGAGAACCUUCGCUAACCAGGUGCUGAAAAUUGGAAGCUCAUCGUCGGAUCUUUUGGUAGCUGCACAACAGGUCCAUCAAGCCCUAAAAUCAUUUAUUCUCCAGCAAUCAGAAGCAUGCCUCAAGCCCCAAUAGAAUAAAAAAGGGAAAAACUGACCUGGAAAACAAGGGAAGUCAAGGGUUCAUAUUUCAUAGCAUGGUGGACGAAGUGAAGCCGCAGGGACAAUGCGACGCGAACGGAGGUUCAGACGACGUGACGCGACACGAACAGAGACCGAAGGUGCGGGAACUGGCAGACACAGAUGAGCCAACAACGAGAAGAGAGAACGGCGUCGACGACAAUACACGACACACGCACAGAACUUUUGGAGGCGACGAUGCAGUGACGAAGACGAAGCAGAGGACCGAUGAUCGUGGCAGCAACCGUGCGGUGGCGGUGGCUGGUGGUUCUUUUGGGACUGUGAGAUUGACAAAGUAAGGCUGAGUGAGGCUGAGACUUGAGAGUUGAGAGGGAGAUUGAGAGAUGGAGACGGUGAGGUUUGAGAGAUUGCUAAUUUAGCGUUUUUUUUUAUAUAUAAAUCAGCAAAACGAACCGGCUGGUUAUUUAAAACCACCGGUUGACCGAUUUUUUAUCAAAACUGUCCGGUCUAAACCGGUCAUCACCAGUUCUUUUCUUUCUUCGGUCAAACACUUCAACCGGACCGACUACCUGACUGGUUCAUCAGUUUUUUGGUCGAAUCGGUCGGUCCGAUCUGAUUCUUAUAACUAUGGAUUCACAGCCAAGGAACAAAAAAUAAUGGCCCUUAUCAUAAGAACAGAGAAACAGAGGGAAGAAAUAGUUACCUUGUACUAUUCAUG
rnacentral:lncRNA from 1 species